UUUUUUUUUUUUUUUUUUGCACAGGAGCAGCACUAGCAUUCAACUUGGAACACUCUCAUUUAUAACUGUACGCAUAAUGCAUGUCAGCAUGCAUAUAUCUUAGGGGUUGUUAGGUUAUACUGCAGCUACUAAAAAUGGAAGGUACAGAUUAUUAGCAUAUUAGUAGCGUACAUGAUUUAUAAGCACCAACUUUCAAAUGAUCGUUCGGGCGCUGAAGAAGGUUCAUUGAACAUCGUGUGGUCACCGUGGCGUCGAGCCAUUUACGCAUCCAUUGACCAAGACAAGAGCUUGAAAACUUUCACUGCACACAAGCAAUGCAAGCCCGUAUGACAACAACUGGUACGGAGCGCCUUGGUGGUGGAAUAGAUGGAACAGGCUAGGAGCUUAGGACAACCUAACUGACCUCCUGUCCGGUUACACAAUUACCUUACAGAAAAAUACUAGUAAAAUCGGUUCACCAUGAUUCGCCUUAUAUGCCGCUAGAUCGUGGAGACCUGCUUGCAAGAGGUAUCACUUGCACCACCGAUCAGAGUAUUCAGUAUUGUCAAUUGCCAUGUAUGUACCUCGAACAAUUUGAUCCGUAAGAUCCUUUAUUUUAACAGACAGCACACCAACUAGUUAGUUGAUUUGUUUGUCAACCUUAACAACAUGGUCAGACACGUCAGAGCAAGAGACACAACUAGUGCCUUUCUUUGUAGCGAAGUAUUGUUGACUUUUGUUUAAACUGGUAAAAUGGAAAAGUGUAAGGACCGACAAAGAACGUGAAUAUGAAAAACAGCAAAGAAAAAGCUGGAAACAGGUGAACGAAUGACCAUUUGGACGGUACGGGGGAAACCAUAAGAAUUUGAGAAGAGAUCAAUCGACACAAAUAGAACUUCCCGUGCGCUGGUUGAUCCCCCUCCUAGAAUCAUUCAUGUUCAAAUUCUAUAAAACAAGCCAUUAUUCUAUAGAGAUUUCAUAUGGUUUGAAUCAAAUGGGAGGAUUUGAUGUAUAGCCCUUUGAAACCAAUGAUUAAGCCUCUCGCAACCCUAUGACAUUACUAUGGAAUACCUCGAUCCAUUGGAUUCAGAAGAAAUCUGUCAUGAGGUCCCAGUCCACGUGAACUUUCAAACUUUCUUUUGCGUCUUCAUCUCUCCCCAGAUUUCCAUGUCCUCUUUCCUGUGACCCAUUCAUACAGUCAUGUGUAGCCGUCAUGUGUUUUGAACUUACGUUACUGUCGAAAUCUUGUCUUGCCCAUUCCCACGCCUCACGCUGAUCUUUUGGUCUGCGACUCCUCUAUUUUUCUUGUUACGUUCCAAAGAGCACAUCCAAGAGCAAGAACUAGAUCUUCCAAGACGUUGAUGGGAUGAGCUAUGUAGUUGUAGACUUGUAGUAGAGUGACUUGGCCGGCGCAUGAGGCGAAGAUAUAGAGACACGGUCACAGCAUCGCACGAGGGGCAAUGCAGUAUUUGGGUCCAAACGGUGCCAGUAAGCAAUAAUGCAGUUGCAGAAACUCUGAAAACCAACACGCUAAAACCACCGGCAACACACAAAUGAUCAUAGCGUCAGCCAUGCAAUUUUUCUCCUGGUCAAAAUGGUGAUUCGCCAUACGAAGUUGGGCAAUCCUGAUCUGCGCAGCCGACCUGGUGUACUACCAGGCCAUUAGGCAGACGUCCAUCUCAGGUGGCUUAGAGAGAGGGAGCCGAGGCCGACAGGUGACAGCGUGCGUCCACCCGUCCCCAAGCCACACAUCUCCGGCCUAACAAACCCGACUGACAGUUGGGGAGGGUUCAACACGCCUGACCUCAAUCAAAAACCACCUAACGACUGGACGCGGAUUUUUCAUCCUGAUUACGCUGGCUGCCCUGUGAUCGGGACGGUGGUGAAACGGACGUUGUACGUGGGGCCCCGGGAGCACCACGGAGUAUUGUUGGCCCAAGCAAGCAAGUGGCGGACAGCGCGACAGGCAGGGUACUGCAUGCACGACGCACCUACCUCUCUACCUGGAAGCUUAGCGCCUUAGCUGCACGAUCGAGUCUAUGAUAUGCCACUGAUGAUCAGUUCGAAAGAUUGGAAACAAAUCUGGAAGAUGUGAACUUUAGGGGGGUGUCGGCAUGGCUGCUUGAGUUCUUGCUUUUCUUGUCGCUGAAACCUGCGAAUUGUUGAGGAGCGGCUUUACUCCACCUCUUCCAGGAAAUCCUUGAUCUCCGCAGGGCUCAGGACCCUGCGAUUUGCAUGGCGAAAAUUUGUGUCAGUGAACCAUUUGAUUGCAGCAGCCAAACAUAUAUUCUCGGUAAACAACCUCUGCUAGAGACAACAGACUAUUGCAGCAGCACAAAACUGAGGGUAGGCCUAAUGGACUCAGUUCAGAUGCAAAGAAAACAAUACACGGAGGAACAUUUUUGCCACCAGAUAAAUAUUUGGUAUACUAUGAGCACUCAGAGAAAAGGAAGUACAAAGCACAAGGAUAUAUGAUCAAAGGCGCAAAGCAGAUCCAGAAGUGUAAAAACAACUACGAAGAGUUAGGGAAAUAUGAAAGUCAGAUCUUCAACCAUGUUAGUAAAGUGUUUUAAGAUGUUAUACCUGAAUUCACGGUCAGAUCGAAUUAUCCCAAUCUCAAUAUUGUUGGAAGAAAUCUGCCCUUCAUAUCUGCAAUCCCGGAGAUAUGUCAGUGAUGACGUUCCCAAAGUAAUUAAAGGCAAUAACAAUAUAGAAAUCAGAUACCCUUCUUUCAGAGUCAAAAUUGCUGUAUGGAUGGCAUCAUCAAGCUCCAUAUCUUCUGUGUACCUUCAAUAAAAUGAAAAAUAAAGGUCAUAUGACAGUAAUCACACAACUAAGGAAAAAGAUCAACAUGUAUAAUAUAGCUAUUGCUUAAGCAGGUAAAACAAUAAAACUAUGAGGCACAGGAUCUGCUCCUGCAUUAUUCAUGGAUCUGUCAGUGAGAUAAUAUAUGGCAAAUCUUAAAAUGACAACAUGAACAUAUUGAUGUGAAAUCAUGAAUUUCCCCUAAAGUUCACACAACUUACUUGUAUCUGAAAUUAAUUUUAGAAUUAAUAGCAAUGUCUACUACAGUAUUAUAGGUCAGCAUAUUAUUUCAAGUAAAUGUGAAUGGAAGCAAUCAACCAUCUUGUCAUGUUCAAAGGUUUCGAAAGAUUGACUCUGUACAAAACAUUUGGCUAACAAGCGAGUUAGAUCCUUUACAUACCUCUUCUCAAGAAAUGUCUUUGCAUUGGAUACAUUUUUCCCCAUAGCUGAUGCUUUCCAGGAGAAGUAUGAUCCUGAUGGGUCUACCUACAAACAAAAUAUUGAUUAUGUUAACACUCCAGAAUACCAGAAUUUUAUUAACAAGCAGUGGAUGAAACAUUAAGUAAAUGGUCAGUGCAAAUAUUUCAACUUAGAAAGUUUCUUUACAACUCUUUUAAGUCAACAGCCAGCACAAACAAUCAUUAUAAAAUCUCACUGUCAUUGAAAAUGAGAUAAAGAUAACAUUGUUUGUUGAGCAAUGUACAAUGACCAGAGACAAAAGCCAUCUAUUUUGUAUCUCUGUACAUACCUGGUACAACUGGGGGCCAUUGUCAUCGUACCCAGCAAUCAACAAGGAUACACCAAAUGGUCUUACACCACUGCAACAAACAAGGUCAUAAUCAAAAUAUAUCCACCCAACAUAGAAUAAGAGCUAUAUACAACAUAGAGAUCAACUUUUGGUAAGAGCAAGGAUCUAAAAUCCAGAUUACUAAAAAUUUACUGGUACAACCUCCAACUAGCCUGUUAGAGGUGGUCUUUGGGUCUAUUCUGGUUAACAAUUUCCAUCAUGUUCUUUGUACACAGAUUUUCCUCGCAAUAUUGUGUUUGUUUGAUCUUUCAUAAUCACUAGCACUAAGUCAAUGCUGGUAUAUUGUUUUAACCAGUCCAUGUUGGUACGCUGGAAAAUGGAACCCAGCCAGUUGCCACGGGUGUUUUGUUCCCUGGGGAGUAUUGUAUAAACUUUCUUAGAAAGAAAGAAUUGCAAAACUGUUGGAUCUGGUUCGGAUCUCAAUUUCUGUAAGCUAAACUUUCUAUUACAAUGAUGGGCUAUUUGGAAAAAGAAAUUAUUGCCAGUUGCGACUUAGAGUCCUUUAAUAGUUUAUAUUUAACUUGUUCAGUGGUUAGCGAACCAUUUUAAUCAUCCAUGUUGAGCAGUGAUGCAGAGUUACUUUAUGUUAUGCAUCCACAUUAUAUCCAGAAAUCUUAAUAAAUAAAUAAAUCAGAAUUCACACAUAGCUAGUUCAUAGUUUAACAACCUCAACAAAGCAACGGAAAUGAACACAUGUAUCAACUUAACAUACCCAGACUGUGUGAACUCCUGCAUAACAGCAGCGGUUUCUCUGACAAGCUGUGUAACAGGUAUGGUUUCCUGCAAUGGUUGACUAAACAAUUAGAAAGCACAAAUUGUUAUUUUCACUUCAAAAUAGCAGGAUAUUUAUGGGUUUGCGUACAAUCACAAAUGAACAUGAUAAUAAUGUUUACAAAAACCAUUUCAAAAAAGAAAUAGGAAAUUUGAUAUCACACUCAAAGUGAGACUUUGUUUACACAUCAAUGACGCAGCGACAGGGCAAGACAGUUACUUGCAGUCUGUGCAUGACACUGAUCCACAUAUGCAUUGUGCCAACCUUAGCGUUGUUUGAUGGGUACUUUGGCCACAUCAGUGGGCCUCACCAACUCGAUAUAGAAACAAUGAUUUAAAAUUUUUGGAAACUUUAUGGCCCAUAUGAGCCUUUCAUAUUUACAUGUGUUGUCAGUUGUCACUUGACCUACAGAUUCAACGACAUUUACUUGCCAGACACUAUUUUGGACAGAAAAAGCAGACAUGAUGCACAUCACUUAAAUAUAACGGUAGCCUGUUUUAACAGAACCAUCAAGUAGACAUUUGAAUAUCACUUUCAUAAGGAUGCUUUUGUGCAAACAUAUUUAAAUGGAAAGAUAUGCACCAAACGAACAGUCACAAAUACCUUAUACAAUCGAUAAUACUGCUGUGCUUGCUUCCGGCUUUUCCUCACUAGAACGCGGAAAUCUGGACCCAUCCCACUGAAAAAUAAUACAAGGUAAGCACAUGGGAAUGUAACAAAAAAUGGUGAGAGUUCAUGAUCAUGGGUCAAUGGUCAGUAAUACACAUAUCGUCGGUUUAAACUGUUAAACCUUAUAUUGAUGGUAGCAAGCUGAAAGAAAAUAUUGCUUAACUUGGUUUAACUUGAAGAUAAAUAAAAUAUGGCACCUUGAAGCGAAAUAAAUGCCCCAUAUGCAAUAGGACAAGUCCUUUCAACAUGUAAUUCUCUUCAUGUAAUCAUAGUGCCAUUCUAGUUUUCUUACACCAUCCCAUUAGUGAGAAAAAUGUAAAGCAGAUGUGACAGCUAAGAAGCUAAUAACAUUGAAACCCAGAUCAGCCAUGUCGACAUAUUAUGAUCUGUGACCUCGUACAUUAUUAAGUUCAAAUAUGUGAGGUAAAUGUAUAGAGUAGGACUUUCAGCAUCCAUAAAAGUAAGAUUUGAAGCAAAGCAACCAAGAGGUCCAAAUAGCAUAGGGAAGUACCUGUAAACAACUCCAAUAUUUGGAGUCAACGCUUGAAUCUUUUGCACCUACAGGUUUGCAUUUGGCAUUUUAUUAGUGCUUGUGCCAGAAGCAUUAUGCUGUUUGACUGAGAGAAGAAGCCAAAUGUAAUGAUGAUGAUACACAUACUGAUGUUUCAUCCACUAAAAUAGACGGCAAUUUCUUCUCAGUGGCAAUAACAACUCCAUUAGCAGCUGUAAAAUGGCACGUAUCAGAUUUAAUCAAGAGAAAAGGUAGUGAAAUGGUUAUGGCCUGCCAGAAUAAUAUCCAAAAACCCACAUACUAUACAAUAAAUUCGUAACAAUGUUAUGACUAAAUGUAUCAGUAGCAAUUAUGUCGGAUAAUACGUCAAAUAGUUCUUUCAUUCAGCAAUUUGAGUUCAGACACAUAUUGAUAAUGAAUGAAGCAUCCAUAUACUAAACUUAGUUCUAGAACAGAGCUGCUGAGUAGCAGCAAUUGAAAGAGACCAUCAGCAUGAUGGAUAUGAAGGAAAACAAAAUAACUGAAGAAAGGGAAAAAAACAAAGAUGUGGGAUUCGAACAGAGUCCCUCAAGAGACCAUGCCACCAGUAUCACCAGGGCAAUUGUUCUGCUGUGUAUAGCUUAUGAUUAUGACAAAGAAAAUGCUGGCUUAUGCACAGUAUUUAUUUCCAUGGACCAUGCUGGACACAUCUCAAAUGCCCCCUAAUGACAUCAAGAUAAAGAAAUAUCCAACUUUAUGAAAUGUAUUAACUUUAGUACAUUUCAUAAGCAUCGAACGGACUCCUGAACCUCUGGAACUUUGCACUCAUAUGUGAAUUGAAAUGCCCAAUAUAUCAGGAAACAAUAAGAACCACACAGAGCGCAUCAUAAUCACGUUAAUUGUCAUGAACCAAAGCAACCAGUCACAAUUGCAAUCAGUCCAGCCUCAGUUAAGGAGACAUUGUGCAGUACAGUGUCCAUGGUGCAUUGGGGUAAGAGAGAAGAAAACCCAGACUCCAUGCAGUCUCAGAGCUCCAUAACCUCUGUAGGCAUCCAGGGAAUCACUCUCCAAAUUCACCACCACAAUUUGUACCAGUGCACAUAUCCAUCUCAAACCUCCAAAAGCCCACACGGUACGAUUUAGAGUAUGAAUCAAAUGUACGAUUCCACAAUUUCAAGUUCCUAACGAAUGGAGCAACUUAAUCAGAUUAGAGCGGCGUGAACUCGCACAAUUACACUUAGCCAAACCCUAAUCCCCAAAUGCCACGCGCACUCAAAAACCCGCGGCGAACCCCCCCCCCCCCCCCCCCCCCCCCCCCCGCCCGCAUUGGCCCUGGCACCGACGGCAGCGCGGUAGAGAAGGGUUAGUGCAGGUGGGCACGGAUCGCACCUUUGAUCCCGAGGGAGGUCUGGCCGGAGCCCACCGCCGUCAGCGCGUGCUCGAUCUGCACCAGCUUACCAGACGGGCUGCAAGGCACCGGAACCUCGUUAGGUCAGCAGCUCAGGCCAAGUCUCCGCGGCGAGAGAGAGAGAGAAUGAGAGGCAGUAGGUACCUGAAGGUGGUGAGUGAGAAGGAGUACUGGCUGUCCCCCAUGGUCGAUUACCUCGCCGGCCGCCUCCUUCCUCUCCUUUCUUCGGGGAAAAGAAUCUUUUGUUUCGAAUCGCCGUGGGAGGGCAAAAAAACGCAGAGAGGCCGGAGAGGAAGGAAGAAAGGGAGGAGAGGGAUCUGCCAUGAGGGCCCAGACCGACUCCAGGACACGAACACCGUCGGAUGCUACCGCCGGUUCGUCGCCGUGCACCGUUCGAUAGCAGGCUUCUCUAGUGGCCUCUCUUGAUUGCCGCCUCUUUUGCGAACGGGAAGAUACGAAUGCUCAAGAAUUCAAGAUGCAAGUGAAAACACGUACCGCCAGUUAGUCUGGGUGAGUUUUCCAAAAACAAAGUUUGCCUGUGUGACUCCUGUAAAUAAAAUCCCGACAUGUUGUGAGAACCGUUGCCCAUAGAUUCAGCCAUUCAGGCAACAAAUUGUCAAGAUACACCGUAAAGACGAGCACGGAGCUCAAAACUUUUUAACACCAUUUUUCGGUAACAUUUGGCCUAAUUUAUAUGCCUUCACAUGACAGCAGUAGUCUAGUAGGGCUAUCAAAUCUGCAAAAAUUCCAACGCUAGUCGGGCCAAAAUUACAACAAUCAAGUUUACAAAAUCACGUUCCGGCUGUGUGCUCGAGCAGUCAUGUCAAGGAGAGAGCUCCUGACGAAACUUUUUUGUGCACGCUAACGCUAGCUCCGAAUCUCUGAUAUCCGAGCGAUUCAGACAAAGUGCCAAAAACCUCCUACACCAUUUAAACACAUGUGGGAUACAUGAAGACACCGUUGCCUGAACAUUUCCCUGCACAGGCUGACCAAGAUAGUAAACAACCUUUACCAUCAUUAACUGCCGCAACAUAGGUCCGUCACCUUGUCAAUCUUGGUGCUGCCCACAUCUCCAGGGGCCAUCAGCCUUCGCCAAUUUCCGAACUGGCCACCACCACACCUCACUCUUCAUCCAUCUUGUCCUUCGGCUCUGAAUUUUCUUCCUCAAUCUUGUCCUUCAACGAGGCAUCUCCUUCCUCCAUCUUGUCAUUUGCAUCAUCAUGUUCUUCGCCCUUAUCCUUUGCAGCCACGUCACCGUCACCAUUCCCUUCACUCAUCUUGUUUCCUUCCUGCAUCGUUCCAUCCUUUGCUUCAACCGCAUCUUCCUCCAUCUUGUUACUGACCGUGGUGUCACUUGCACCACCAUUUUCUUCCACUGCCAUGUGCUCCUUUGGCUGAUUCAGAACACUGCCGUUUUCUGGAGGUACUACAUCAGCAAUAUUUUCUGGCGCUGCUGGAGGUAGCUCAUUUGCUGGAGGAGCAUAAUACUGCAUAUAUUGCAUCUGUUGCACCGAAAAAUUGUAGUUAUGGCUCAGAUUUUUUAAAAUAUUAAAGCAACAGAUAGAUUUAAACUUUAUUUCACAGAGAUGUGCUGGACGAUGUACCUGACUAAGAUGUUCCAGUCUGAACUUAACCAGAUGUUCAAUGUCUUCAAUACCAGUAACAUAAUGGAUAUUUCCAGUUUCCCCCAAAGGUCGCUCUGUAAAUGGAGUGCACUCCUCAAGAUUCAAGGCAAGUUUAUCGGGUCUUUGGAGGAGAAGCUGGAAUGUUGGCUGCAAUUCGUAACACUGUUCAAACAGUGAACGCCGGCAGAACACAUACAAGCCCAGACGAGCACGGGACAUAGCCACAAUAAGUCUCCUAACAUCACGGAGAUGGCCCACAAAACGGGUCCGGACAAGAGAGAGUAAAAUGAAAUCAUUUUGCUGACCCUGGAACUUGUCCACAGUGGUGACCUAGGCAUCAAAACACCAACAGAAGUAAGUACAAGAAACUCAAUAGCUGAUAAACUGUUAGCUUAUGAACAUAUAGCUCAAACACCAUAUUUAUUACAAAUUACCUUGUUAGGUGGCUCAAUAUUCCAUGGCUUGCAUCUUUUGUUUAUGACAUCACGAAUAAGAAGCUUCUGGCCAUUGUAGGUGGUUAAUAUUGAAAUCUUAUUGGCAGGGUAGCCAAUCAGGCGCAUGUAGAUAUAUAUAUUGACAAUAUACUCAGCCUCCCCUUCAUUCUGGUAGAACCAAGGAGAGGGGGCAGACUCGCCUUUGCCCUUAUAAUCAGGAACAUCAACCAACUGAUACUCAAAAGAGAACCCAGCAUUAGCUUUAUGGAAGAUCGCUUGCUCACGCACAUAAGGCAGAUCUCCCAGCUCUCUGUAUCUCCAGUUAUAGAGUUUAGCGAUACUAGGUCUUGCACGACCCUGAGCAUUGAGCUCAAUAUAAGGGAUACCAAGACGAACAAACCUAGUAAACAGACUCUGGUCCAUGUGACUGUACUUCUGAAAAGCCAUGUUCUUCACCACAGGGGGUAACUGAUGGUGAUCGCCAAUUAAAAUGCAACGUUUAAGACGAGCAUGGCCAUCUUCCUGUCGUUGCAGCAGCAUAGGGAUAAAAGUUUCUAUCUCCAAUAUCUGUGCACUUUCUUCCAUCAGCAAAUUGUCAAAUUUGAAACCUAAUUGAAGAAAGUCUCGCCUCUUUAAUGCUGCAUGAGUACAAGUCAUGGCGACAAUCUUCGCCUGUUUCGUCAUUAGAUAAUUUGCUCUCUCCACCGUUGACUUAAGUAGUUCGAAAGCCCGACACUCUUCCAGCUCUUGGAAUAUUGUUGAAAGAUGUUUGAAACAACCCUUGGCUGCAUGCAUAUCUUUCUCAAAAGACUCACCGGUAAAAAUAGGCUGUGGAGUAUCUGAAAAAAACUCCGAAAAUGGGAACCGGUCUUUGACAAAAGUGGGAUUAUCUUGAUUUUGCGCACAGGCAGCUAAGAAUUGUUCCCAACGAGCAUAAACAUGUAAUAACCAAAAAUAUGCAGCAGUUUCACAUGUGUAACCCACAUCUUCUGGAAGGCGAAGAGAUCUCGCCAAUUUAGAAACUUCACCUAGCAGCUCUAGCCGUCGGACAAGCAUAGCAUUAACACGACCUUGACGGCUAAAAUCAAGAUCAGUGGCAAGCUCUUGCUCGCCCUGACCAAGGCGGAGAAGGUACCUAGCAGGCACAUCCCUCUGGCAGAAAAAGAAAAUACAUCAGAUAUCCAGUAGCAAAACAAAAUGCAACGAUAGCCAUAUACAAAACAUCUCCAAAAUUAUAACAAACCUAUAUCUCCUAUCAAUCUAUCAUGGAGUGAAUCUAAGUGAUUCAUGACGGCAGUUAAACUACAAGGAAAACGAACAGACUGAUAGUGUUUUAACAUGUUAAACAAUAAUGCAUGGAAAUGUGACAUCAGGUACAUUUUAUAUGGAAUCCCUCAGGAGCAACAGUACCAUUUUUUCAUUUAGAUUCCCAUUGACAGACCAAAUCACAACACAUAAACACACAAUUACAUGGAAUUGCUGGGAGAAUGUUCAGCUAAUCUCCAGUCAGUUGCAGCAGCAAUUGUUAGUCACUCACAUUAAAGUACAGUAUAGCAUUGAUCCACUGCCUCUUGAAAAAAGUACUAAUUUAGGUAAGCGGUACGAGCACAGAUAAUAUAUACUCAGUAACAGUACCUGCAUUAUCUUCUCAAACAAGUCAUUCAAAGCCUGAUUCGAAUGGGUUAUAAUCAGUGUCCUUUGCGAAGGACAGUUAUGAUAUAGAACAUUUAAUAUCUGCACAGCUGUAUCUGUUUUCCCCGUACCAGGAGGACCAACAACCAUUGUCAACCCAGGUUGAACACCGGAUAUUAUAGCACCAAUCUACAAACAAAGAAUAUUGUCAGUAUCAGAAAUUUUAAGCUGAAUGAGAUCCUCAUUCACCUUGAAAGAAAAUACACUGAUGCAGGACACAUACUGGGCCUAAACAUAUGUCAAAUGUAAGUUAUGUUAUUUACUUAAGAGGCAACUAUGUCAUGUACUAAAGUUCCAGUCAGACAACCAUUGUCUUGAUUUAUGUAUGCUUAGAUAAAAUAUUGACUUUGGAUCUUCAAAGUUGGAACUUGGAUGAAGCAUCUUUUUGAAGUUCUGGUUAGCAUAAAAUAGAAGGACAGAGGCACUCUAACACGCACAAGAAAUGCUCUAAAUAUGCCUUAGUACUUCCACAUUUGUUACCAGACAUGCACCAGUUGAAAUUAUGGGGUUAUCCCAGAGUGUGAAGGGUACCUGGGUGGGUGUGAACCUCACUGAGUUCUGCUUAGGUUUAUCUUGAGGAUAUGGCCCAGGAUCAGCUGGAAUGUAAGUCUCAACAAUUAGUUUCUCUUUCUGAGACUCACCAUCAGCCAUAUUAUCGUUGUUCUUAACAGAUAAACUGGAGUUCACAUUGCCGGGUAGGGCAUGACUGCUUUCCCUCAAUUUCUUGGACAGCCUAAUCUUAAAAGGAGGGCUUGGAUGCAGGUUUUCUGUACCAUCAGAAUUGAUAAAUGUAACCUGAAAAAAUUGAGCAUUAGAAUCUUGGAGAACAAAGAUGAAAGUGAAAAUAGAUACACAUCAACGAAGCAAGAUUUUGAGUCAAUAUUUACCUGAUAAUCUGGAAAACUCUGCUGUACAUGGUUAGCAUCAAGAAAAGUGUCCUUGAAAUCUAUAACUUCCAGAAGAUCAGGCAUAUUUAUCCACUGCGCAGCAGAAGGAUUUCCAUAACCCAAGAAUAUGUUAUGCAACCAUUCUGGAACCACACAUGUUUCAUUCAUUAGAUCACGUAUAGAUUCCAAGAUUGCUUUGAAAUUAUUUUCCUUGGGCUUCCUUCUCAUUAGAAUAUUAAAUGUUCCAUAGACAUUUUCUGCACCCUUCUCUGCUGUUUCAGUUACAUCGAUGUGGUACUGUGCAGUAUCUAGUGCAAUUCGGACAGUACGCAUCUCACCCUUGGGUGGUUUCCAUUCUUCUCGCUUUAUCUUUCCUGUGAAGUCAUUCAUGAGUGUUCCUUCCUCAUCACGAAUUUCAAUGACCUCACACCCACGUACAUAUUGCAAUCCUAGCCUUUCUGGUACAGUUGAUUUCGCAGCCUCUUCAGGGCUAAGAGGCUCAAAAGAAGGGCGGAUUGACAGCAAAAAUAGAACAUCAUGCUCCUUCAGAGCAUCCCAUUCAGAUUUUAUCUGAUGCCUGUAGCUCGAUAUGCUGAAAGUAACAUCAGCAGUUACAGCAGAAGGUUUAACUUCACCAAUGUUUGGCUGCUUCACUUCUUUAAUCUUAAAUUCCUUGAUUGGAACAGCCAUUCUGGACCAUCCACGGAAGGCAGUCUCUCCCUCAUUGUUGAUAUGAGCAUGUAGAUGAGGAACAGCUUCCUGAAUAUCUUCACGAAUUUCAUAGGUUGAUUCAAGACGAAACAGAUUGAAAUUUCUUAACAAAUAAUCAUGAAGCGUCAGGAAUUGGAGAUUGAGUUUUGGGAGAGCAAGACAGCCUUCUCCAGAGUAAUUAAUACUAGGAACAAGGCUUUCGUCCCACAUGAUCUGCUCAUUUGGAUAAAGAGGAAGUGCAUUUACUGCAUCUUUUUGGGAUUGCCGCUUCUCAAAAAAAGCAACUAGGACUUCUAUAAGAAAAUCACGCCUUCCACUGCAUGGAUCUUUCUCUGAGAUUAACUUGAGCUGCUUGUAAAGGACAUGUUAGCACCUCAAAAUGCAUGCUUUCAGUUAUACAUGUAUGUAAAAUAAAAUGUUCAUGCAUAGCACUAAUAAGCAAUGAGGAAAUACUAAACUAUGAAACAUAAGGAAAACUUUUAACCUAACUCCAGUAAGGAACUUUAUAUGUUGUUUGGGUUAAAAUAAAUGGUGAGCAUCUGUUGCCAUCAAGAUAACUUGCUCUGACCUCUAUGACUGGUGGCUGUCUGUUCCAUAAGGUCACUUGACUAUUGAUGUCAUUUAACAGCAUAGCAUGCUAGGAAAUAAGAAAAUCAGAAGUAUUUAUUUGGUAAAUUAACAAAUGGGAAAUGUAUUUCCUGCUUAUUUUGAGAUGGUGUUUACUGCUUUUGAAAACCCAUUUCAUAAAAACCGUCUCUUAUUUCACAUAUUCAUAGGCCUAAAGAAGUCAGUGCAUGUCAGAUCUCAAUGCUGUUUGUAGGUGGCAAUAUCAUGUGCAGAACCUAUAUUCAAUUAUUCCCAAAAGCAACCAAAUGGGAGGCAACUUAAUCAGCCUAGAUCAGUGAGGCAAAAGGGACUCAAAAGUCACUUCAUCAGAUUGCAACUUCAUCAACAAGGGGUUUAAGAGGUAGAGCUAAGCAACUCACUCUAAGAGAUUAAGGCACAGUGUAUCUAGCCUAUUAAGUGCCCCUGUGCACCCAAUCUUAAAAAACCAUCCAAAUGUUCGUGGAAAUUCCAAUGAAAUACUAUCAGGUCAGUCAUUAAAUGUUUGAUCAAAAUGCACGCAUGUAUUUUACAUGCUGCCACAUUAACUUCCGUUUGGAGACUAUCAUCAAAUUUUGAAAAAAUAGACCAUCAAUGACAAGAAGAAAAAGCAUAUCCACUAACACAUGUCAAGGAAACACUAUGUACAAACAACAAAAGAGCCUUAUAAAAUAUGUAUAGACAACAAACACAGACAGGUAAAAGUAAUAUGUUGAAAUUCUCACCUUGUUACAAACCAGAUCUUGCAGUUCCACAUCCGACAAGACAAGCAGCUUUUUUGUUAAGUCAGCUCGCUUAUGCAGUGAACCAAUACUAGACAAGGAAAAAUCUCGCAACUGCAAUGAUUAAAAUGAAAUGUUAAUAUUUGCCUUCCGAGUAGAUACUACUAGUGUACAAGAGACCAAACCAAAAAAUGAAAGUAAGAAUAAAAUUGCACACCUUAGCCACUUGCUUAAAUGCUAGCAGCUGGAAAGCUUGGAAACGAGAAUAAUGAGCUUGCAGGAUAUCAUCAUCACCAAGCUGUGUUCCAGAAUGAUCAUUAAUCUCAAAGCCUUCAUAAAACUGCAGCAAGUCAACCAACUGUGCAAAAAGGCGUCCCUUUUCAUGAGUAUAGAGUGCACUUAAGUGGCACUUAGCAACGACAGCAACAUCAGCAACUAGGGGCCUCAAAAACCUGCAGAUUAUAAGCAACACAAGUGAGAAAAGAUAUAACAUAUAAGUAAAUAAAUAAGCUAAGGUGUGUCAAUAUUGCCACUUGCCAGCAAUAUUUAACUGAACCAUGACAUUUCUUUGCUUAGGAGAUAUACUUUGUGCUUUCUCCAAUAGUAAAGAACAGUAAAGAUGCAAUGGAAAAGUUUAUAUGGCCAUGUAGGAAUAUACAAAGACAAACCAGAUCAAGGAAAUGAUGUUCAGUUAUGACAAUAUGAGAGGUUUGUACAGCAGAAAGAUUAACACCCUUGAACGGAGGGAAAUACACUGGUAUGUGUCUUUAUGAAGUGCUCAGGGUGGAAAGAGCCAGGGAAAUACACAUCUGUUCUAUGAUUAUUUGAUGUGCAAGGACAUUGAAAACUUCUGCACAGUCACAAAAGGAAGUCACUCUGAAUAUAAUUUGCAUCCUGCGACCACUUCAAGAGGUUUCAUUUGGUACCAUGAAGGCAGUUGAACAUCCAAGUCCCUAAAGCUUUUAUAAGUGGAUGGGUCAUGGGUGCUUAUAUCAUGAGGGACUCCUACUUGCACUAACUAGACAUAUUUGCAAAAAAUGACAACAGGAUGUUAAGUUCUCAUGUUCUUACAUCUAUGUGGAACAUGCACGUAAAUUAUAAUAGCCUGGUACAAUCUAUAUUUAUCUGGCAAUUCAAGAUCCGUAACUACAUACCUUCUAGUAGGAAGCUGGCUCAACAUGUCAAUCAGAAAUUCCAUAAAUCUCUCACAAUAUAGGACGCAAGAAUCAUCGACCUGCCCACCGAGUGGCUCAUUCAAUACAGAUUCUUCACCACCAUCUUGGCUGGAUAAUAUGACCUUUGAAUCGAGAAUCUACACGGAAGUUUCAUGGAAGUUAAGCAAAUUCAUAUGUAGCAAUAACAGAGUAAAAAGGAAUAGCUUCAAAGGUGCACCUCCAAGAAUUCUUCAAUUAGAUUCCUAAGGAAUUUAUUCUCGAGCGUUUCAGAAGGAUUGGUAGGUUGGUCAGCCUUUUUUGCUUCCUUUGCUUCCCUUCUUUUGAUUUUGGUCCACUUCUUAAUCAAUUCAGGGUUAAGGCAGAGUUCCAUCUGUAUAUGUUUUAAACAAAGAUAAGAACCCAAAAAUAAGCACAGAAAAAAGAAACUAUCCGUAGGGAUAAAAUUACCUGAAGUCGUCCAAAAGAAAGAGUAUUCCACAGCUUUAGGCUAACUAACUGAAGUAUAGUUUCCCGGACAAGCUCAUCCUCCAAACUCUGCGGCGAAGCAUAAAAUAGAAUUAAGUUCUCAUAAAGUCGAUGCAGGGUGACAAUCCUGUUAAACGGUAUAUACAAGCCUUGCAUACUAAUUUUAAAAUUACUAUAUGGGCAAUCCAAUAACUGAUCAUAAACUUAAAAAGGUUUUAAAUAGAUAUCAGCAGCACAUAGAACAAUUCAAUAGAGAAGUUAUAACGAUGUCCAUCGCAAUAUCAUUAAGUAUUCAGUGGUUGUCUGGUUGAACAGGAAAAGCAACAUAUAUAGGGAAAAUGAAGCAUCAGCAUGUGAUGCAAAUAGAAAGUACCUGAAAUGCAUUUAUCAUGAACAGGAGGUAAUUUGUUUUCUCUGCCAUAUUAAGGGCCCUUUCCUGUAAGUUAACACAACAAGACAAUUUCAGUAUGGACAUUGCAAUAUCAUAAUAUUUUUAUAAGUAAAUGGUCCAGAAGACACAAAUUUGUGGUGACAUAAGCACUUAACUUUUGGGUUGGAGAUAGAAAUACAACCAAACUAUUCGUCUCAAAAACAGCUCAUAUGCGAAAUAAAAGACAAAAAAAAAGUAAAACAAAACACAACCAGCGAAAUCCAAAAUCCCCUGAUGCCCUCGAGGCCUCAACUCUAUAACCCAGCCCUGUAUACAAUUAUAACAUCCUAGUUGAAUAGAUUAUCUGACAUUCAAAGAACAUACUGGAGCAUCUGGGAAAGAAUGCUCAUCACAAGCUACUCAACUGGAGCUCAAAAUAAUUGAACAGCAAAGUGAGGAAAACGUCAUUUCCACAAUAUAAUCAAUAUAAACCACCAAACUUCUCAUGCUUUUGUAAUACAAUCUGAUUUCUCAAUUAUAUCACCAACAAUAUUGGCUACUGGCCAGUAACUACAUCUCACUACCUAUUACACUAUGGCUAAAGUGAGAUGCAUACAACUGUAGAUCCUAAUCGCUGCAGCGCACUAAUUUCAAGUUAAGUGGCUUCAGAUCACAUGUGCCUAUGAAUGCUUUUAUAACCAAUUGAACAGCUAAACCAAUCCUGGUCACGCCACAUUUUAGGAGUGUUAAAAUAACAACACCCAGAUUUAUCCAACAUCCACUGAAUAAACUAGGCAUACAAAUAGCCAGCUCUGAAAUCAAUUGUAUCCUAAAUUAGUUCUCACAUGAAUAAUCGUUUUACUGGAAAAAUAAUCACAUAGAUAAGUACAUAAAAAUCGACACAAACCUCUUCCUUGAGCUUGAGAACCCGCCACAGGAACCCCUUGAAAGCAUCCUUACGGUCAUGGAAACACGUCCACGCUGCCACAUUCUCCCGAAACUGCACACAAGGCCCAAAUCAUGUCAGAAACCCUAGAAAUCACCCGAGCUAGCAGCAAGAGCUCCAAUCCAAUUCGGAGCAGAGGCUGACCUUCUCGUUAACCAUGAGGAUGAUGGACAUGACAUGCUCGAAGGAGGCGUUCGCCGGGUCGAAGUGCGGCCACAGGUAGUUCUCGAGGUACUGGCUGACCUCGAGGAUCAUGACGCGGUGCAGCGGCACGGUCUUCCGGCCGCGACCCUCGACGCGGAGCUCGGUGGCGUAGAUCUCCCUGACGAGGUCCGCAUCGAAGGCCCCCGCGGCGGCGGCCGCGCCCCAGUGCUCGACAGCGACGCGGGUGAGGCGGUCCCGCUGGAUGUCGAGGAGCGUGAUGGAGGCGCCGCCGGUGGACGCGGGGACCUUGUCGGGCGCCGCGGUCGUAGCGGGGGCGGCGUCCGCGGGGAGAGGGUACUCCGCCGCGCGGGGGUGCCGGAACUCGAAGACGCCGGUGCCAAAGACCUUCGGCAUGGCUGGGGCAGCUCACGAGGUUUAGGGUUUGGACGAGAUUCGCGGGGUUUAGGAUUCGAUUGUGGUGGGUUAGACAGUGGGAGCCGGAGUGGGACGGGGAAGGAGAGAGGGAGGGGCGGGGGAGGCGGCGCCGGCGGCGACGGGAGAGGGAUUUGAAAGAGGAAGGGGGUUUAGCCGGAAGCCACCAUUUUUUCCGGCUCGAGCUGCACAAGCCCCCCUACAGAGUCCCGCUUCGUUUUAGCCAAAGCCCACGUGAGAUUGUUCGAGGAUAGUCGGUUGAUUGCUAGUCCUGCGUCGUCACGUCGCGUGAAGAUUUUUGAACGUUUUCUUUCCUUUUGCGUAAGGAUUAUAGUUUCUUUAUAAAAAAAUUUGGAACUUCGAACAAAUUUUCAGUUCGAUUCUGAAUACAGUAAACUUCCUUUUCGUCCAUACUCUCUCCGUUCCAAUUUGAAACAUACAUACAAUUUGAAAUGGAGAGAGUACUCCUUAAUUCUUAUCCCGUAUAUAUAACAAUUCGAUCUUUUUAUGUAGUUGAUUCAGGACACGUCAAACUUCAACAUAUCUAUCACUCGGUAUACUAUUCAUCAGGAUUAUAUAUGUUGCCUCGCUGAGCCAGAUAAGGCCACCUGCUUAGCAGGGACGGAUCCAAGGCCCGGCCACCCUAGGCAUACCUGCAAGGGUCUAGUUGUUCUCUUCUAUUGCUAGAGUGGAAGGGAGAUGGCUCGUAGUUUGCUCAGGCUUCGUCUGGCUGCUGGGUUUGCCACUGCCACCUCGGACCUUUGCCUCGCUUCUAUGAGAGAGCUAUUGUCAGGGUUGAUAAGAUCCUUGUUUCCUGUGCUAGAAAAAAAAGCGAGACGAGGUACCUUUUAGCUCAAAUGAUGUUAGGUAUCUUUCGUAGUGUAGUAUCUUUAGCGGAACGGGAUUUACUAAUCUGACAGCUAAAAGAUCUGUGCUAGUAACUUGACAUCCUAUUUUAUGCUUCCCCUCGUCUCAUAUACUCGUUGAAGAGUAAUGCUCCAUAUUUUCCUUUCAUCUCGGGAUUGUCGGGUUAUUUCCCGUGUUGGCAAAUAGAGUGGAUGAUUACAAUCAAUCGGACGAUCACCCCCACUCAAUUUGAGCUAAGAGGAUAGGUUUUGUUUGGUUAUUUAAAGCUUAAAAGUUUUUGAACAUUUUUUUCUUGUCGAAUCUCACACAUUAACAAAUUGGAGGCUUGAAUAGUUAACACAAAAUAUUAAUGGUUUUCAAUGAACAAGAUAUGGACACUGCUCGGUCCUAAUGAAGUGUUCAAAAUCAUUAACAAGAAACUUUGUAUAUCCUGGACACAACCAUCCUUUCUUUCUAACAGAAGGCCCAACCCCCCGAGAGAGUGGCGAUCGAGGAUGCCCAAUUCAGCCCAUACCUCUUCGUGGGCUGUCGUCUCCCCAAAACGGCAUCAACAUCCUUCAAAAAAAAAAAAAACCGGCAUCAACGCGGCAAUCCUUCGACGCAGCCACGCCCCUACGGCCCUACGCAGGCAGCGAAACCAACGCGGCACCGGCAGCGCUUGACGGCGGCGCGUCAGAGGCUCUCGGAGGGAGGGCGUGGGCUUCUCACUGGCGGGGGCGCGGGGCUAGGUAGGGCGGCCGACCUACCUUGCCCUAUCGGUGGUUCCGCCACCGGGUGGUUGUUUACCCCGGUCAGCAGGCGAGGCGGAGUCGGCGACGCGCCGAUCGCCACCCCCCGUCUUCCUCCGUCGCGGGCUGGUACGGUGGCCAGUGCCGUUCUGCGGUCGCCACCCCUUCUCCGAGGUUCGCCCCUCCCUACUCUUUCCCUCACCCACACAGCGGCACAGCGCGACCUGACUCCCGAUAUAUGUCUUCCCAGCCCUCCCUCCUGACAUCGGAAGUUCUGAAUGCGGAAUGCCCCCACUUUUUUUUUCAAUGCGCGGAUACCUGGAUUCUACGGCGCGUUAAUUCUCCAUCUCCAAUCCAGGCCCAGUGAUGGCGUUAACACUGACACCGUUCGGUUCUCGGUGGAACAAUUGAACAUGCUUAAAAUGUGUUCAGGAUUUAGUACUACUUGAUUGAGCUUCUUUUCUUAUGCUAGCUACAAACCAGAGUUCACUGGGCUCCUUGCUACACUCCAAAUCGCUCAAUCAAAGCAGAAUUACAUAAUUGCCUUCACCUGCGCUUGGAAAUUAAACUAAAGCCAAGCUGCAAGUGUAGUAUACUAAGGCCUUAUGGACUGCCUAUGAUUCCAUAGGCUGGAAGAUACUGUGCAAAUGGCAAUCACAAAACCUGCUAGCUUAUUGGAUCAGUGCGGAGGGAGCUUCCCUUCUAGGAACGAUGAGAAUAGUGCCAAUGCUCUGCGAGGCUGGUAGUAUGGGACCAUGUGCCCGGCUCCUCUGACUGUUGCGAAGACCAGGCCUUUAUACCCAAUGACGUAGCCAGCAACCUGCCGUUUAAUGAAAGAUUAGAGAACCGAUAUUAAUUGUUCACAGCUAUUUCUAGACGAAAUAAUGCAUCUAUGAUGUUUCAGAAUGCACGCUCUUUUGUGUCAACUGCAUCUCAACCAGGACAGUUUUAUGUUCAAACUUAUUUCCAUUUUGGUAUUUUAAGAGAUUAGUAACUUGGCUAUCAAAUUGCUUUGGGUACUAGUGAUCAUUUUGUCAAGCAACAUGAUGGAUCAUCCUCUUCUUUUUAUUUUUGCAGGAAGCACAUGUACAACUUGAUCCAAAGGAAUCCUGUGACAUGAAUGCUGAUAUUCAUUUUUCAUUAUCGGAUGAACACUGGGCUAUGUACCUCAUUAUCGAUGCUCCAUGGACGCCAAGAUGUUUCUAUUGGAAGUCCAAGAAUGUCCAGCACAUACUGUGUCGAAAUGAAUGAACACACGGCAUCCAUAUCACCACUGAUACACAAUGGUAGAGUUUAAAUCACAGUUUUUUUAUGUAGCAUGUUAAUCUAAGUAUUUUGUCACACAUGAAGCUGAACAAUGUACCUGUACAGCCAUAUUCUAAUGCCACUUGAAAUGAGUUUCUUGAUUGAUGGCAGCAUUGUCUCUGGUGAAUCUUUCCAAUUAUCAAAUACAUGCUGACUGCUUGAAGGAAACAUAGAAUUAAUCAUAAAAAUGCUGUACUAUUCUCCUUGAUGCCCAAUUGCUAAUCUAGUAAGAGGUUUACUUGAAACUGAACAAAAUCUCAAGGUAUAAAUAAGUAUGCACUGGGGCAUGUGCACACUCUCACACCAUUGAGGAUGAAUUGGAAUGCGUGCAUUUUGAUGCAUACUUAAUGGUGUGGAUAUGCAGUGCAUGUGGCCCUAGACUCACCUUUGCUUUUCCCCUGACUGAAUGGGUUAAAUAUCUUUGUGAUUUCAAAUAGUUGUUUGCUGAGGGGGCAGAACAUAGGCUUCAGAACCUUUUUUGCAUAUUUAUGCUAAAGGAAUAAUUAUUGUCAACUGUGGUUCACAUACUCUUUGAUGGUUGGCUUGUAGAGGCUGUCGCUAAUUUUUUAUUAUUAAUGCUACUGAGAAGUGAGCAAGAAAAGAUAUAUAAGUAUUCUGUUCCUGUGGCUUAUAUAAGUUAUUGUUUGUACAUAAAGCAUCUACCUUUCCAGAUUGCUUUAGCAAAGCCAAUACCAGAUCGCUAAUAGGGUCGCAUAAGGGGUAUGGUCUAAAAUUGCACAUAAAUUGGAGACAAAUAUGAUAAACAUAUUCGGAUAUUCAAUCCACAUACCUACAAUCCAUCCAUGGGUAGUGUAACCCUGUUGUGUUUGCAUGGAGUGCCUUUUGGACCUCAGGACGAUUUAGGUAAGAGGAAACAUAGUGGUUUGUGCAUGGAUCGCCCACUAGCUGAAAGUAAACCAAAAGUUUCAGUAUCUGAAGGAUCAUAUAGAAAGGGAAUUAAAAAAAAUAUAUGUGAAACUUAUGGUUGGUGCUGUAUACCGAGUCACUUGAUUUAGAAGGAUUUGAGGCAUCAUGGCAUGUUGGUGCAUAGAUGUCAUAGUCAUCAACAUUUCCUUUUUCCUGGGUAGCUAAGUUCAUGGCAUUUUGGCAAUCUUUAGUGUAUGUCCCAUUAAAGUCACAUUUAUCCUUGAUGGCUCUGUAAGCUUUUCUAGAAAUCAUAGCAUGCAUCCAAUAGUAGUCAAACGAUGCUCUUAGAGUCAAAUUGUCAUCCAAGUCUGCAUUUCCAAUCUGAUCAAGUUUUACAGAGUUACCAUUGGUUAGGAAUUUACCGAUCUUAUAAGUUACAGAAGCAGCUAUUGCUGAAAACUUACCGCAACACCUUUAAGUUUGACAUUAGUUGCAUUGCUGGCUCUAUUCUUAGAAACAAUCAGAUUAGCAAGCUCUGGUAUAUAGUGACCCGCAUAGCUCUCACCAGUUAUGAAGAAAUCACGGUCCCGAUACUCAGGAAAUUUCUCUAGCCAAUUGACAAUAAAGGUAUAAGCAUCGUCUGUGGUUCUUUGGUCACCGGUAUUAUAAUAAUCUGAGGUAGUGUUCGAAUAUGAGUACCCAACACCAGCUGGGAUCUCAACGAACAGCAUAUUGGCCACUGCAUUUAUGGAUCAACAAUGGAACACAUAGGUGUUAAUCCAACUAACUUAUUUGAUUAUUAGUCCAGUGAAGGUUUAAAGUGAUUUACCUCUGUUCCAUGCAUGCCUUUUCCUGUACAGUGUCUUGUUGUCAUUACGGACAGAGAAAGGACCAAGUUCAAGCAUGGCCCCAGAUCCAAAGGAUGAACAGCCGGGCCCUGCAGAUCCAGUAAGUGUUUCAUCUUAUUCUUUGAAAUCUAGGCAUCUUGCUGCAGCAUUGCAAACAUAGAUGAUAUAUGUUCUAGUAUCAUUGACGUGAUUUUUUCCAACUUUGACCCUCAUUAUGGCAGACAAAUAGACCUAAAAAAGUUUAUAACAGCAUCUUGAAGAAAGAACUAGGUGUGUGUUUGAUGGUGUAUCUCCUAACCUAGCUAGAGCUCUAAUGCUCGCUGGUGAGGAAUUACAUGUGUGGGGUUUGGCCGGGGCCAGAGGUAUUCCCUACCUCCUCGCCCUUGGACCGGAUUAGGUGCUGGAAGUGUUGGUCAUUUUUUUGUUUUACCAGGCGUGCUUUUUUCCUGUAAAACUCCGAGGGUGUGUGUGUGUGUGCUGUAAGGGCUCUUCCCCUUUUUUCUUCUUAAUAUAAUGAUACGCAGCUCUCCUGCGUGUUCGAGAGAAAAAAAAUCUUGAAGAAAGAACUCCACAGAAAUAUGAGGUGCUUUGUUUAUGCACUAAAAUGUGUUACAAAUUGCGGUCAACAGAGUCAGUGUGCAUACCUCCAUUUAGCCAUAGGACUAGCGGUUUGUCCAAGGGAUCUUGAGGAGCCUCAACAAAGUAGUAGAACAAUGCCCUUCCAGCCUUUGCAUCCACCGUGACAUAUCCUGCAUAUUGGUCAAAUUCUACUACCCCUGUUUGCCCUGGCAUCGAUACAAUCUUAUCCUGCUCCUGUAGAUUAUUUUUUGGGUCUCUACCUCUAUGCACUGAGGGACUAGUUCCAUUCUUCAAAGUCGAGUCUUGUUUUCCUUGAACAUGUUUGCUGGAUAAUAUCCAAUGAUCAAAUUCAAGAGGCUGGUUGGCCUGGUUUCUAGUGGCUAUGUUUGCAGCACUGGAGUAGAACAAGGACCAAAGUAUCAGGAGGCCUCUUUUCAUUUUGAUAGGAAGCGUGUGCAUGGGUGUUUGGUGUCUUGUGCUAGGUUGCCAUUGGUCAAUCUUUAUUUAUAGAGGGGACAUUCUGUUUGCAAUACAGUUGAAGAGUCCUCCAAGGAAACCAUAAUAUGAUUGAUUCUUUGACUUUUCCGCGCAAGUUGGACUUAAAGCUCUAAAUAUUCUCUCUUUCUGAUGGCAUCUAUAUUAGUAAUGCCAAUGGUGUUCAAUUGAAAUUCUAAGUUUCUUUUUGUUGGCUGCGACCUAACAAAGUCAGCACAAUUCCUAGAAAGGCACAAGAGCCAUCUCUGGUUCAAUUACACUUAUUAUAUGGGAAAGAAAAGGAAAAUGUAUGCAAAUCAGAUUGAGGGUGCCUCAUCCAUCACAAAAUUGGUUAUGUGUACUGUGUGUAUCUUGAUCUUUGACUUUAUUUUUCUUAGUAUCGUAGCUCCUCAUAAGCUUCUUGUUCACUCGGUUAUAUUCUGCCAAGAUUCCCAGGCAUCUUUACUUUAGUGUGCCUUUCUGUUGUGGUCCCUAGUCUAACCAAGGGGUUGCACUGCAUCCAUUGCUUCUGAUUGCCUUUUAACUCGAUCUGCGGGGGGUAAGACAGCCCCCGGGCAUUUUGUUAAGAAGAAGAAGACCUCCUCACGCAGGUCGAGAAAACCCCCGAACCCCUGCCCUACCCUUACAUAGUGGCACCGUAGCCCGUGUGAGACGACCAACGACCUGGGCCGAGCCUUAGACCUAUGCUUUGGUGUGGGACAGACGAGGGGAUUUUUUUAACCCCAGCCUGAAAGUUGCUCCCACGGGGAGUCGAACCCAGGACCUGAGGAGUGCUACUAGAGCCACCUAACCAACUCAGCUAGAGGCUCGUUCGCGAGUGCCUUUUAACAGGAGCACUGUAAACUGUAAAAGUGUAUUUGAAGCAAUAAUCCAGCCAUCCCACAGAGCUGGUUGAAGUCAGACUUCUGGCUUAGUGCAAUGGUCAUUAUCAUAGGAAAAUAUGUUGUUUCUUAGUUUCUGUGUGGCUUGACUUGUUAUUCUCUUAAAUUGAGUCUCGACUUUUGUUGAUAAAAAAAACUUGUGAAAUUUAAUAAGGAUUCAUGAUUCUUUUGUACUGCUGCUUUCAAUUGGUUUAGUAAUCACAAUGCUGUCGACCAAAAUUGCUCUCUUUGAGCAUUAUAAUUUUCCUUGAAGCAAAAAAGCACAUUUAUACCCACUACUUGGAGGUGACUUGUUGAUAGCAUCUUGUCAGCACCAUCACUGUAUUGAUGCAUCAGCAGUUGACACCUUGUCAUUUCCACUUCAAUCAAGUUGAAUGUUACUUCCAUGUUCCAUCUCAUGUAUCUUCAAAAGAAUAAUUUGAUCCACCUUGCAAGUAUGUGGGCACAUUCUAUUUUGUUCUUGUGGUGUGGCUUUCAAGCAACCUGCCCUUUCAUCUGAAACUUUCCUGUAGAAAGGUAGAUUCCAAACUUGAGCUGUGGGCAUGGAACAAAUAUUUUCACCAAACUGCCAUUGACUGUUGACAGUAGCCCCUCUUCAGGAAAAGGAAACCUGAAAAAUAAAAAUCUUUUAGGAAAAGUAUAGUCUCCUGUGUCUUUUCUUUUUAAGCUAUGUUUUCUUUUUGCUGGCUGUGUACAAUUCAUAAGGUUCCUAUGCUGCCUUUGAAUAGACCAUCUCCUACCUCAAAUCUAUGCGGGCAUCAUAUAACCAUUGUAUUAGUGUAUUUCUCUCCUUAUUUUUCAUUUCGGUUGGUUGUCAUGCACUGAGUGGACCCACUUUGGAUUAGAGUUGAAAAACGAGUUGAUGGGACAGGAGGCAUCAACUUUAGAAGGGAAUCCACUUUCUAGUAGUGCACAUAUGCAAAAUGCCUUCCAAGGCAACACAUAUUGUCAAAGAGAGAAGUGAGCAAGGAAGGAAGAUGGAUAGAGCAAGGCUUAGAAAGGCAAGGAAUAUUUCCUACUGUUGUAUUCUGGUCCCUUAUGAGUUCAUAUGUUUACCAUUAUGAAUAAAUAAAAAACUAUAGUCAAGUCAAGUUUACUCUGUACAAAAAAUACCAUCAAAAUCAUCCUUUAGUGGCCAUGCCAAAAAGAUUCCCCAACACCAAUGGGGGUCAAAGUCAACUCUUUUUUUUUUGUCGUUUGACUUCUGUAUGUUGCAGAUUGGUAAGGAACCUGCCCAUACUUUUUCUUGAGCAAACCAAAGCACUCUCUGCUGUUGGAUUGCUUGAUGGGCCUCCUUAGAUGCUGCUCUAAAGAACCAUCUAGUGGUCCAUGGAAAAAUACAGCAGUGAGGGUACACCAAGUAUAAGAAGCUAGUCCCUCUGAUUCGAAAUAUAUGUUGUUUUAUAAUUCCUGCCGGUCAAAUAUUUUUAACUUCGACCAUCAAUAUACAAAGAAUGACAUACAUUUAUGAUAUAAGGUAGAUGCUACUAGAUUCAUAACGGAAAGUACUUCCAUAGUGUUUAAAUAUCUUUAUUUGAAAUGACACAUUUUAAAGAAAUUUUUAGUCAGGUAUCACAUUGUGUUGAUGCCCAUAACAUCAUUUAUUUUGAAUCGGAGGGACUACAUGCCCAUAAUGGUGUUCAAGGAUAUAAUUGUACAAUUUAUCUGUAGAAGUUUAUGCUCUGCUACUUUCUUCUCCUUAAUAAAGUUUGUGUUUAUCCAACUGAAAUUCAUUGGAACCACGAAUGAGAAACAUCCACAAACGUACACCUCCUUCCACCAUUUCCUGUAGGUACAAUUCUGUUGUACUAAAUGUGAAACUCGAAACAUCUACAAAUCAUAAGCUAUAAGAGGUCUAUAUCUGGCGCAAAAAUGCGACCAUUUCAUGAUUAGUAUUUCAUCAGAACUGCUUAGGCUUAGGCUUUUUGUGGAAUUUAGAUGAUUCAGAGUACAAUGUUCAUUUGUUGUAAUAAUCUCCUUCAAUGCAAGCAAGUCUACUAUGUUUGGCUAGUAUGUUUCUAUUAUUUUUUCUGAUGAACUCCGGUGUAUCUUUCAUUGUUAUAACAAUAAAAGAACAGAACCUUGUAAAGUUCUAAUCAUUCAGGGGGCAUCUUCCCUUGCAGGAAUGACGAGAACAAGGUGAGCGCCCUUUGGGGUUGGUAGGUAGGAACCAUAUGUCCAGCUCCUCUGACCGUUGCAAAUACCAGACCUUUGUACUCAACCACAUAGCCUCCAACCUGCCAUUUCAUAAAGAAACAACGGGUUUCAGAAUCCUACAUGACAACAAAUGGUUAUACCAUACCAUUUGGUUUGUAAUUCAUACCUCACCAUCAUCAGAAUACCAUGCCCUCCAUGGUGAGUUUAUCUGCAGCCCCAGGAUGUCUAAUGAAUACAGUGUUGAAGUCACUGGACACACAGCAUCAAUAUCACCACUGAAGAUAAAAUAAGUCAUUCUUAGUAGGGUGGCCUAAACUUGUAGGGAGGUGUUUCCAUGAAGGGAGUACUCUACUUUGGGGGGAAUUUGAUCAAAGUUGAACUAAAUCAUAAGGAUUUCGAUACAAAUGACCCAUAUCCAAACAGGCCCUUUGUAAUGCUUGUGGACUUACCUAUACAGCCAUGUUCUUAUUCCACUUGAAAUUAAUUGCUGAAUAGAUGGCAGCAUAGAGACUUGGGCAUCUUUCCAAUUUUCAGGAGAAAUGAUAUGACUGGUGCUCAGAAAGCAUAUAUGACUUUGUUAACUAACCAGAAGGCUAAAUUUUAUUAUGAAAUACUUGAAAGAAUAUCAGUUAUGUUUCUUUCACCUGCAAUCCAACCAUGGCUGCUUCAAUCCUGUGGUGUUUGCAUGAAAUGCUCUCUGCACCUCUUGGCGGUUCAGAUAUGAUCGCAUAUAGUAACUGGCGCAGGGGUCAGUGUUGGUUACCUGCAACACCAUACAAUCAGUUUGGGAGAAGUGAAUUUGUUUAAAAUCUGCGAGAUGACUUUUACCGAGGCAUGAUGCUGUCGGGGAGCAGAAGCAUCCCAGCAGAAGGAUGCAUAGAUGUUGGACUGAUCAAUGAGGCCCUUCUCAUUAUUAGCUGCUUCUAUCGCGGUUCUACAGAGUCCUGUGUAUGUUCCAUUAAAACUGCAAUUUUCCUGGACUGCUUUGUGAGUUUCUUUGGAGAUCAUAGCAUGUGUCCAGUAGUAAUCGAUGGUCGCUCUUGUGUUCGUGUCAUCAUUGAGGUACGCAUUUCCAAUCUGUUUCCAACAAGUGAUUGAGUAUAUAGUCUGACUCUAUCCAUGGAAGCAUUACUUAGUACUAACUAUUUUUGUUUGAAACUUACAGCAAUUCCUUUGAGAUUGAUCAUAGUGAUGUUCAUGAUUUUGUUAUUUGACAGAAUAGUGUUGGCAAGCUGUGGUAUGUAGUGGCCACCAUAACUUUCACCAGUUAUAAAGAAGCUGUGGCCCUUGUACUCCGGGAACCUCUCAAGCCAGUUGAUGAGGAAAGUAUAUGCAUCUGCUGUGGUGCUCCUGUCACCAGUGUUAUUGUAAUCUGAUGUUCUGUUCGAAUAUGAGAAACCAACACCAGCAGGGCUCUCAAGGAAGAGCAUGUUUGCCACUGUCAUCCAGGAAUGAUCUGUCAGCACAGAGGUAUUAAGAGUGUUAACUGCCAUAUGUAACCUUGUGGGAAUCAGCCUACCAUUGUUCCAGGCAUAUUUGUUUCUGGAUAAUGUCUUGUUAUCUCUGUUGACGAAGAAUGGUCCAAUUUCAAGCAUAGCACCUCCCAGAGAAGAACAACCAGGCCCUGAAAUUUUAAGGUAAUUCUUUCUGUAAUUUCAAAAAGAAUAUCAUAUGGUGGAAUUGUUGUCCACGUGAUUUUUUUUCAGGAAUAUAUGUCUAAAUAUGCUAAGGAAAAGGUUAAGUUGUGAACAAUUGAGAUCAGUAGCUAAGGAGUGCAAGUACAAAGUACACAACAUACAAAUAGAGCAAUCCUUAGCAUUUAAUGUGAAAAAUAUAUUAUAUGUGAAACACUUUGUUAUCCGUGAAUUUUAAACAGAGUAACCCUCAACCAAACUUUCACAGGAAGGACAAGCAGCACAGUACCGAAUAUCUUAUCUUAGUAUAUAGGAGUAGAUAUAAAAUUAUGAAAGCAGAAGGAAAGUGAGGCAACGGAGAGUGCCACCAGGUCAAGUUUGGAGGGGUGACAGCUAUCUGCUUGGUGGAUGAGGUUGCUCUAGCUUUAGAUAAGGGGCGUGCUUGGUUCCCAGCCACGGGCUGCCACGCUACGGUGCGGCGCGCCACAGCCUGUGGCGGGGAAAACCAGUGCCACAGCCACGGGCUCCUUUUGCUGUUGACUGUGCUGUGGCGCGGGGCACUGUGGCGGGGAACCAAGCACGCCUAAGAUUUCCUCCACUUCGCACUCCCAUUCAUUGUGCCUCAACCCUUCUCCUACCUGAUGCCUACUCCAUCUCUAUGAGUCACCUCUGGAGAUCCCACAAUAUCACCUCUCUCUCUCCCUGUUCUCAUCUUGAAUGUUUCCUCCUUCCCUUUCUCCUUUCCGCUCACCUUCCUCUGCUCCCUCCUCUCCAUGUGACUCCAUGCCGCUUCCCUGCACCCACUCCAUCCUCUUGUUUCCACCUCGUGUUGCCUUGACCCAUAAUACUAUUUUCAUCACCCUCUCCCACGCUGCUGGCAGGGAAAUUGUAUAUAAUCAAAAGAAAAUUUUGACAACAGUUUGCUUUUUUGAUUUUCCAUAUUUUCAUUCUUCAACAGAAGCAAGUUUUUAGCAAUAUCAUAGAUUAACUUACCGGAUUAUAAGGUAAUGUGUAAAUGGUUCUCACUUACAGAGCCAAGUGCAUAACUUGAUUAAUUGGAAUCUUUUUAUAGCUGAAUAGUUCAGAACUAUUUCAUCAUGUACUAGGUGCUGUCAAAUUUUAUGCUGGACACAGCCCAUCUUAAUAACUUCCUUUGUUAUCAAGCUUCUAUGUAUCAUUUCCUACAAAUGAAAGUGUUGGGGAUGUUACUCCUCCAAACAGGGAAGAGAGAGAGGGAGGAGGGUAGAAGGGUGGAAAUGAGAGGGACAAGGCGGAGAAACAUAGGAGCAAAUGGGGAGAGGUCUAGUGAGUCCCCUUCUCAUGACCUUUUGGAUCCUUUAUAUAGAGAAGGGAGGGGAUAGAAAUUUUCCACCAUGCCCCUGGUGGGUACGUAAUUUACAAGUAGGCCCUUGGGCUUUCACACAAGGCCCAUUUCCUACGUGGGCUGGGCCAUUCCCCCAACAGAAAGGAUUAUAGUUCAUCUGUAAUAUUCUUCUAUAUAAAAUGUAGUUCUUUUUUGUCCUCUCCACUUAUUUUCCAUGCACUUAUCUUUAUCAGCGGUAUGAUGACGAAGGUAUGUUUCAAGAUAUUACUGUGCGAAUUAUUAAUAAACAGAACUAUUGAGCAAUGACCUGAGUUUAUGCAGCUGUUGAUAACCAUGCGGUGAAGGUGAACAAUGAGUAAGUUAUGAAACAAAAAAAAUGGUCAUGAAGAUUUAUGAUUGCCGCCGUUAUUUUGGUUAGUCGACAUACUAAAUCAAUUAAGGCUUUGCAGAGCUUGGAGAGUCUGAAAAUUAAAAUCUAUUGUGUGGCAUCAAGGAUUAGUGCAUCCAACAAAGGAUCAACUUCGAGCAUCAUACUAGAUCAGUCGGCUUAACAAUCUGUAGAAGAAUUACAUGUGUCCUGUAGAAGUAAAUAAUAGCCAGCUCCAUUUCCAUUUCGACAAGCUAAGGUUGAUACUAGGUAUGAUAGACUGUCAGCUUAUUGCUCUUUGCGUGAUUUUGCGCACUCUUGGUGGUGACAUUUACUUAAGCAGCAACUAACACCAUCAAUUGUCAGUUCUUCCAAUAAAUGCCUGUGGAUGUUUUGUAUUUGGUAAACCACUGGUAGGUCAUUAGAACAGGAGGGGGAAAACUAGUUGGUACUGAUCUGUAGCAAGUUCCAACUGUAUUUCAAUUUUGAACCUUGAAACCAUGAUUGUAUGGAUGGAUGGUUAGGACAACUAUCCUUUUUGCCAGACUGCAACUGAUAAAAUACAGUGAGCACAAAGCAACAUCUAAGCAGAGCAUAGAAGAACAUUUGUCUGACGAAAUAAACCACAUAGCAAUUGGUUCCUUACCUCCAUUCAGCCACAGGACCAAUGGCUUGGUGGAUGGUUCCUCAGCAGCCUCUGCAAAGUAGUAAAAGAGGGCCUUCCCAGAUGUUGCAUCAACUGUGACAUAGCCUGCAUACUGAUCAAAGACAGCCUUUCCCGGUUGCCCAGGAAGCUCACUGAUCUUAUCAACCUUUUUCAGCCCAUCUUGUGGACCCACAUAUAUUGGAUGAUCCAUGCUCCAACUUGUAAGCAUUUUAUUGUCUAUUCGAUCAUGCUGCAUCUCCAUUCUUGACCUGGAGAACUCGUGCAGUCGACCAGCCUCAUCCGCAAGUGACGCUUGUAUGAGUAUGAGGCAGAAGAAUUGGAUGGCAAAUGCAUCUCUUCUGAUCUUGGAGGCCAAAGGAGAACACCUCCAACAAUUGCCCAUGGCCGGUGUUUUUGUUUGGCCUACUCUGGAUUAGUUGAAAGGGUCUUAUAUAGAGGGGGCCAUAUAUGAUCGUCAUCUUUAUCUUGUUGGGUUUGGUUAGAAAUAGAUACGCUGGAAUACUGGAUCAUGCCAAGGAUAUGACCACAUAACAGCCUUAUAUAGCGAUAACUGAUUCUUGAAUGUGCAUAGGGAGAAACGCAUGAUGUCUUUUUGUUUAAAUUUUGUGCUCCAAAUUUAGUGCCUUGCUCGGUUAGUUGGGUUGAUCUAAUUCUAAAAUGAAGGUGUAUGGAUGUUUCAGUCAAGAAUGAAAAAUAAUAUACAAAAGAUACAAUAUGCUUGCAUUUUUUUUAGAUCAGAAUACUUUGGUAAAGAUAUUAGACGGAGCAUCCCAAUGUGGGUACGAUACUACUUGGUACUCUGAACUUUAAAGUUGUGUGGACGAUUGGAAUCUGUUCCAUCCGACCACAAGUGGGAAUGAGGAAUUUGUGCUCGAAGGACUGAUUUUGCACGCAACAGUGUUAUGAACUUUGCAUCAUUCUUCUUAUUUCCUAGCACCCGAGUUCUAAUAUCAUUCAUCUUCCAGGAUCUGCCAAGCAAGCAGAAGCUACCAUAGCGACUGAAACUUUACAUGGUUCACGUCAAUUGACCCACGCCAGAAAUUGACCGGAAUCUGUAUUGUUAAAGGGCGAAUGAAUCAACAAUCAAUUGGCCUUGCAUCAGCAUCAGGUAUCUUGUUCUCUUCUCCUUUUCCUAGCACUGUAUGGCACCACAGAUUCGACUAGAUAUCCAUUGAAGUGCACUGCUGUAUGAGUAGGAUGGAAGAUGCUCCGUGCCUGUUUUUGCAGCUUCCUUAUCCGAUCCGUCCAAUAGGGUACCACAUAAUGUACUUACUCUGUACAUGGUUCAUAUUGUUUUAGUAAUCGCUACUAAUUAUGGCCAUUAUCUUUAUCGGUGCGCAGUUACUGUUAGUGUUAGGCCUGUCAUUUUGGUAAGAUGGACUUGGACUCAGACUGAGAGGUGCGCUGCCGUGGUGGAGCCCAAAUAGACUUACCACAUGCCUAAUCAUUCUUAGAACAACAGAAAAUGAAGUGGCAUGAAAAACUGGAUCUGUCACGGUAGUUUUUGUUCUCAUUUUUUUUUUAGAAAUUCCAGGGCUUUUAUGCAUUUGCAACCGGACCAAAACAGGUUCAAGCAAUUACAGUACUGGGUGCACAUCUCGCGCUUCAAGCAAAAAAAAAAAGUCUGCCAGAAACAGAAUUGUGGUAUCAGACUCAAACUUAUACAGCACUACGUCGAGAGCGUCAGAGCAAGUUUAGAUCAGGUCACCGAUCUCCACCAGUGUUCUGAUCAGCAAGUUCCCCAGAUGUAUUUUUUACACAGGUUCAAUAAAAUUGAAUAAAGUUCAUUCCAAUUAUUGAAUUAGGUUGUGCAGAUUCUUAUUUCAAGUCAUUUAAACUUUUUUUGAGUGGCAUGAAAAAAAACAAAAAUGUAUACGAUAGACCUUAAUUAAUCAUAAGAAUUAAGGAGUAGAAGAAAAUGAAAAAAAGAGAGAGAACAAAAUGGAAUGAGGGGGCCCUGAUGGGCUCUUUAUUUCUAAAAACAACUGUAUAUCGUGAUUUGGAAGAGUAUGUCUUUUGGGCUGGCUUUGACUUGAUAUAUUGGCCUGCUCUAGUCUCGGCCUUACAACAUUUGUACUAGUACUAGCGGUAGGCUGGCAGCAUGGUGGAGUCUCACAGACAAAAACAGUUGUUGCUGUGGAAAUAACAGCUACCACCACGUGAAACCUUUCGAUUGGUAAGUUCAAAUCACCAUAUAAACAGAUCUUUUCUUUAAUAGUAAUUUGUUUGUAGGUGUACCAUACUCUGAAUGGUAUGAGCCGGCCGUUUCCAAUUUGGCAUGCCCCGCUGAAUUGAGCAGGUUGGAGAAGAGAGAGGAAAAAUGAGCCUGUCUGUUAUGACUGUACGUUCUCACUUGCUUAUCACCCACCUUCAUGCUUGAUGUUUCUUCCUCCCACUUUUUCGUUUUUUACAUUCCUUUACUGAAAGCUGCACCCCAAAAAACUUCCCUUAGAAAGGUUCACCUGCACAUUAAAGGAGAAAAAAAAACAAAGGAAAAGGAGUCUCGGGUUAUUGGUCUGAUUCAGCACAAUCAGUUUCAUCCUUAGCUUUUCUCUUUGAAUAAAGGCAAAGCAGAUUAAGAGUACGUGAGCCAAUCACCAGAUUAAUCAUAAAAAGAAGGAAACACGUGCUACAAACUUGUCGCGAGGUCUUUGGAGUUUCUUGCGUAUGCUUACUAUGUGUUCCCUUGAUAUUUGCUACCACUGACACCUCACUUUAUGAAGUAAAAAGAAAAGAAAAACACUCAACUGGAUAGAUGGUGCGAUUUUUUAAAAAACAUUAGGGGGAUGACUGGAGGAAGUUAAACACAACAAAUACUUUGAUUUAAAGCAAAACAAAUAUAUUGCUAGUUUUUUUAGGCCAAACAUUAUGCUCUUGUUCAGUGGAGAAAGUGGACAUUACUGCUAGCAGAUCCGAGAGUAGCACGAGGUAGAAUCUGAAGGACUGUAACGACGAGCACGUCGCCAUCGCCCCUUGGGCUCUUCUCUUGGCAUACCAAAGAGAGCACGCCAUGAGGCCAGCUGCAAGAGUUUGGCGAUCGACAAGUGUACUCCACCUUUAAUCCGCAUGUCACGAUGCCACACGGCACGUACCCAUCGAUCAUCUUUUCGUUCUUCCGGAUGGUAAUGUAUCAAUGGAACGGUAGUAAUGUCUCACUGAUGUGUCGCAACACUAGUAACAUUGCCGGAGUUUAACACACUCUAUCCACUCUGAUGGACUCGCUCGACGCAUGCCAUCAGUCCCGGCCCGAUCACACACGCGCGAUCAAACCACACUAGAAACAGGCCCCUUUUCUGGCCUAACCCUCUUUCGCUGUCCCGGUGCUUUAGUCGCCGGCCGGCCGCCUUUCCUGGCGUGCGUGCGUGGCCACUGCGCCGGCCGGGCCGCCCGGCCGCGCCACCGCGGUAGCCCGCCGAGGACCACCACCGGGGUCAGCCACGUGCGCUGCGGCGGCGUAGGCACUGGCGUGCCCGCUAAAGAAACCUGCAGGCUUUAGCCGCCGCAGCUGAGGAGGAUGGCCGGCCGGCAUGUGACGGCUACUGGCUCCGAUCGCUGUAGCCCCGGCGAGUGACACGGAUCCCCCGCCGUUGUUUAUUGGCGCCGAUCGAGGCGAUCCCGCCGCGCUAAGCAACCGUGGAAAGAGAGGCGCCCUAAGACAGAUGGCGCCCAUCAUUUGUUUUCGUCUGGAUGGAUCGGAGCCGGAGAGCGAUGAUCUACGUCUACCGCACCCACCACUGAUGAAUGCAAAAGUGGCCCUGCUUUUCGCCGCAGGCCGAUGUGAACUGAUCCUCGCUGCGCUGUACCAGCCAGAGAAGCUUACGCAUCCGGCCGUGACGUCACGCCUGCGCCUCAGCAGCAGCCAUGGAGCUCAACCUCGUGGAAGAUCAUGUACUCAUAACGGAGGAACGGGAACGGACCAAUCAGUAACGCGCAUGCUGCGUUGGAAUCGGCCACACCCAGGCGUGCGUGGUCGUCGUGAAGACUGACCGGGGAUUAUCGCAUCCGAUCCCUGCAAUCCUUUUGACCGGAUUCCAUUUACACGUAAACUACCGUAUAUUGGUACGCACGAUUAGUCGCUGCCAAGGGUAUCGCUGCUGUCCGGCCGGCGUGGUACGCAUGCUGCGAUCGCUUUCCGGGAGCAGUUUGUGGCAUUGAUCGCUGCGUGUGUUCAGAACUUGAGCUCGAUCAGCCGAGCCUGCCGCCUGCGCGAGACGAGACGUCGCGCUCUCUCUGAAUUAGGCCUCCGCUCUGACGGUGCCAACUGCCAACCAAUGCAAUGCAGCAAGCUCCUUGGGUUGCCUGCUGCUGCCAAUGAUACGACACGCUCCGCGGCGCUGGACCGCUCCUUUCCGCCGAUCGCGACGCCGCAUGGGCUCCCGCAACGUGCCGUAUUCACUCAUUGCCUUGCCUGCCCCCCCAUGGAUCUGCUCGCCCGGCCCCCAUCCUCCGGCCGGUACGUGCCGCUGAUGGCUGCUGCCUUGAACGUCGGCGUCGGUAUGGUGGCGACUGGCGAGCGAAGAAGACGACGGGGACGCGAAGAUCUCCAAGGCGCGCGGGACGACGCCGCGCCGGCACCAACGCGCGCGGCGUCCGCCUCGGCUAGCUGCACGUUCUCGUUGAUGGCGAGCGAUCGCGACGGCGGGGCGUGGUGCGGAUGCUGGGCGGACACCGAUGCCUGCGGCGCAGGGACCAUAUCGAUCGAUCCCGGCGUCUGAAUCUGCGAGAACGCUAAGCCAUCGAUGCAAGCGACACGACGCACAAAGGCGAGGCGAGGCGCGGCGCCGACGUGCUCUCCAAAGGAAGUCCGUGUCGCGGCUGACUCAUCUUCUGUCUGACUGAAAAAGAGAAAAACAGGGUCCAUCGUUUAGUUCGGUUGCGAUCGAUCUUCUUCUGACCGAGGAAAGCGUCCAUAACUUGUUUUAUUUCCCGAGCGGAAUUUCGCUCUGAAUACGACAUGGGAACACUGCAAGGAAGUAUGGUAGCUGAUGAAUCAGUGAUGACGGUGGCGUACAGUUCUGGAGCAGUUUGCUACAUGUUCUUAUACUCUUCAAAAUUCCAAGCUUCUUCACCUUGUUUUUAUCUGUCACUCUAGAGGUCGACUUUACGCAUGCCGUCGAAUAAUCCAUAGAAAAGAAGCAGUGACCCGUUCUUGUUGCAUUCAUGUAAACAGUAUCGCGACAGGUGCACGUUGCGUCCAUGGGGUACUGUCGACAAUGACAAACCAAAAAGAUGAAAAAGAAACGACGAUCGCACAUGCCGUAUCCUAAAUUACGACAAUACACCAUGCCGGUUUUCACCGUAUGGUCCGUUCAGUUACCCCUGGGAAUGCAACAGCUAAGCGCGUGCAGUUUUGUCUUCUGGGAGUGAAGCAUCAUCAAAGCUUGCAGAAGAAGUGCCACAGCCCUUCCACAAAAAAGAAGUCUGCUACUGACGAACGAACCUGACCAUUUUCUGGCCUGAAGAUUGGCUCCCCGCUGAAUCUCUCGGAAAGCUACGGGUCCCUGUGCUCAAGCAUACGAUGUUUCGGGACCUGCUCCAAGCCUUUUGACAAACGCAUGUCGCAUUUAUAGGAGACUGUUGGACGUCACAAACGCAAGAGCACUGUGGCCGUCCCGUGCUCUCGACCUCUAGUUUUCGGUUUCGUGCCGCUGUCCACCGACAAUUGCCAAAAGUAGCAGCGAUAAUGAACACUGUUAGGGACUAUUUGGAUACGAGAUGCUAAACUUUAACAGUGUCACAUUGGAUGUUCGGAUGCUAAUUAGGAGGACUAAACAUGAGCUAAUUAUAAAACUAAUUGCAGAACCUUGUGCUAAUUCGCAAGACGAAUCUAUUAAGCCUAAUUAAUCCAUCAUUAGCAAAUGGUUACUGUAGCACCACAUUAUCAAAUUAUGGAUUAAUUAGGCUUAAUAGAUUCGUCUCGCGAAUUAUACUCCAUCUGUACAAUUAGUUUUGUAAUUAUAUUUAGUACUCCUAAUUAGCAUCCAAACAUCCGAUGUGAUAGGUGUUAAAUUUUAAUAGGGUGUUCACCCCCUUAAAAACAGAGAUCAAACUCUGAUGGACGACCGUCAUCGAGGUCGCAAGUCUGAAGAACACGAGCAGAGGAAGACUGAAUUCUGAAUGUGGAUUCCAUUGAUUCCUCUCAGUUCCCCAUGAUACAAAAGCAACUAGUUACAGUGCCUCGCGAGAAGGCGCGAAAAUAGAAGCCUUCCCAGCAGCCGAGGCCUAAUGGUGAUGGUAAUCAAGCAGCAGCAGCAGCAGCAGGAACAAAAAAAUAAAGAUAAAAACAAAAAGGAUUGGGGACAUGGGAAAACGCUAGCAGGUUCUAUGAACGACGCUCUUCUUCUCCUAACAAGCUGAAGAGCGUUUUCUUCCGCUCUGGAGGGAGGGAGGGAGGUGGUAGCCGCCGAUCGAGUUAGACGUCGAGCUGGUGAUCUCGACGAUGGGUUCAGGUGGCGUUGGCGUCGACGAGCCUGCGCAGGAAGUCCCUGACCUCGGCCGGGUCGCGGAGGGAGAAAGACGCGGCGGUUUCCUUGGGGAACCUGGACACGAGGAUCCCAGCGCCCUGUCCCCGGCUGCGCAGCACCUGCCCGACACAAACCGUGGAAUGGAACCGUCGUCAGAGGCAGAAUAUUUCCUAGGAGUAUUUUUUUCAGCAGCAGAAGAUUUCAGGCUCCGGAGAUACGGCGGCGGCGGCGUACCUUGAAGGCGUCCUCGUCGGUGCGGUCGUCGCCGACGUAGACGGGGAACACGUCGCUGCGCUCCGCGUAGCCGAGCGCGUCGAGGAGGAACUCGAGGGCCUUGCCCUUGUCCCACUUGAUCAUGGGCCGGACCUCGAGCACCUUGCGGCCCUGGGUGAGGCGGAGGCCCGGGUAGUCCCGGAGCACGGCCCGGACCCGCUCGAAGAGCGCGCCCCAGGCAGCCUCCUCCACGCAGCGGAAGUGCACCGACAGGCAGAACUUGUUGUUCUCCACCUUGGCGCCCGGGAUCGACGCCUCCACGCUCCCCACCAGCGCGGCGUACGCCUCCUCGAUCACCGGCAGGAACUCGGCCGCCGGCUGGCAGAGCACCGACUUAGCCUCCUGGUCCUGGUCAAUCAACCACACGGAGAGGAGAGGCUCCAUCAGUGAAACAGCUCGAGGAGGAAGAAGCUUAAGCGUGUCGUUUUCACCGUAGUAAAACCUUGUUGCUUGCAAGGAUGGAUGAGGAGAUGAUGUAAAUUUACCUUGCCGUGGUUGUUGGGGUCGGCGGUGGGCCCUCGGAUGUCCAUCCCGUGGCUCCCGGCGUAGUAGAGCUCCUCCAGCCCCACGAAGCCGAACACCUGCACGAACCAGCACGUCAGCGUCGUCCUCACGCACGUCGCCGUCGCCACCGAGUAUGGCAGCAGGGUCCGGCAGGCUACCGAACACUAAUGGCCGGCCGCCGCAAGGGGGGUGGUAAAAGGGGGAAGAAAAGGGAGAGCUCGCGCCAAGUGGAGGAGCUUCUAGCUAGCUCGCGCCUCUCCUCUGGCCCCGUGAGCAGCUACCGGUGGCUGCUGGAUUGUGCGUGUGUGUGUGGCGGUGAGAGGCCGAGGAAAGGGACGGACUUUUCAGCGAGGAAGAGAAAUGUGUGUGUACCUUGUCACGGCAACGCCCGCUGACGAUCGCCGUCGGGAAGCGCGCCGCCACGCCGCGAACGGCCUCCCUCAUCUGCGUCCAGAGUUUGACAGGGUCGGCGUCAGAGGAUGGAUGCCAAAAUGCUUUGGGCAGCAGAGCAUGCUCUGCUUUCCUAUGCAUGCUAGUCAGAUGCGAGGAGGAAGAUGAACAGAUGAUAACGCACCUCGUCGGUCAUGACGGCGCGGUCGGGGUCCUCGACGAUCGGGGACAGCGUGCCGUCGUAGUCCAGGAACACCGCGACCUGCUUCCCCUUGGCCGCCGCCGCCAGCGCCUCGAACCGCUCCAAUGCCGACGGGUGCCGCUCCUGUACAGGAUGGUUGCAUUUAAUUUUUUCCCCCAGCGCCAAGGAUUUGGCUGCCAAUCGGAACCAAGAACAUGUUUUGGUUCCUCGUUUGACUAAGCAGCGGGCGUGUAUUUUUACUCACCAUCCAGUCGUCGUGCUCCGCGUCGGCGGCGCCGGCCAGGGGCGCCAUGAGCCUGUGCCUGGGCGAGGAGGCCUUCAUGGAGUCGAGCCAGGACCCCAUCACAGCGGCGCCGAGGUCGACCUGCGCCGCCAGCUUCCGGCACGAGUCGGCCCCCGUCCUCGGCGGCGGGAACGAGAAAUGCCGCGCCGCCGCCGCGACGACGGCGUCCUCGGGGCCGAGCACCACGCCAUGCUUCGUCAUGGUCACUGAUGGCUACUCGGCAACCGACCACCACCGAUGGAUCAAGAACAGUGGCGGUGGCUGGAGAGAGAGGUGUGGGAUUGGAAGAGCAAGAGAGAGGCGCUGGAUUUGCCGAUUCAAGCUGUUCAAGGAUGCUUCUAGCAAGGGCUGUGUGGGGGAGUUUGGGGGAGAUGGGGAGGGCUAUUUAUAGGUAGGGGAAGGGGGGCGGCAGGCCUGCCCAACCCUUUUCGGUGCCUGUUUUUUCCUCCCUAAUUUUUUUUUUGCCCAAACACACGAGAGUUUUCUUGCCCCCUGGGUUGUUGAGAGACACGCACCUCAGGAAAUCACAAGGGGUAUUUGUGUGGGACCCUUCUUCCUCAUCUUUUUUUUUGUUCAUCAGACCUUCAUUUUUCUAUUGCUGAAUUUUGGUAGCUCAGAAGUAUGAAAAUGCAUUCCAAAAAAAUAUGGGCAGUGUGAAUUAGUACUCUUUUUUGAACUAACAAUAAUCUAGGACUUUUGUUUUCUGAUGCACUUACUUUCUGAUGAAGCAUUUCUUAAAAAAAAGGAAAAAAAAAGAAGACAAAACACCCAGCAAAAGUCAGCUGUUGAUCUGGUCAAGGUUUGCAGCCAAGGAAGGAGGCCGAAGGAUCCAAAGUCUCAGGCAGCUAUACACUAAAAAACCUUCGCGUUAACCAACACACCAACCGCUUUAACUAACGGGGCGUCGCAAUUUCGCAACAGGAAGGGGGGAGGUGGCGGGCCCCACGGCCGGGGAGGGACCGGACACGUCGGAUCCGGUCACCGGUUGCGCUGUCUCCCUCCACGCGUCCUCGCAGCGGCGCCAGCCCGGACGCGCCGCCCUGGGCCCCGCGUGGCGCCGGCGUGUGUCCACGUGUUCCCCCCGGGAGCUAGUGGGUGGCGGGGCCGCGUCGACAUGGAUGUGGGGCCCGCAACGGUCGCACGCGCCGAGCAAUUGCGCUCCUGUUCCUGUCUUGGCUCCUCCUACCCGAACCUCUCCUCUCGCUGUCGUGGGAGUGUAUUCUUUCUCCGUGACUCCACUGAGAUGUUUUUAAUUUUUAUUCAUACUUACUUCAAGAAAAUGUGAUCCACUCUGGUAAAAAGAAAAAAAAGGCGUGAUGGCCUGGAAAUUUUGAUAAUGACCCAUUUAGUCACAUGAACAUAGUACUAGUAGUAUAAUAAGUAGGUAUUGUCUUUCUUUGGAAAAAUAAAGGACCCAACACUAUAGAAAUUUAGAAAAACACAAGUUUUCUCAAAUGCUGCUAUCUCCAGUUAUUCUCUCUCUCUCUCUCUACAAAUGUAAGUAUUUUCGACUAUGCACCUGGACAAGCAUUUGUCCAAGUACAUGCCUGUAUUCAUGGACGAAGGGGUAGAACAUUAACAUAGUCUACAAAGCUAAGACUUUAGUUAGUAAUAAUUGUUGUGCAAAAACUGACAUUUGAAAUAAAUUAUAGAUAUGAUCAAUAAAUACUUUUGAUUGGUGAUUUUAGUAACAUCUAUAUUGUCCACAUGGUCGAAAUUAGAAACGUUUGGUCAGCAAAUAAUAAUAAAUGAGGCAUCUUUAAAUUGGAAGAGUACGGCAACAUAUUUACGAGCCAAAUGUAGCAUGUUACCAACUUUGGAAAGGAUAAACAAUGCUGCUUAAAUUGACAUAAAUCUCUCUCCCUUUCUUACUUUUUGAAUAAGUUCGGCACCUUUAGCUCGCUAACUUUUGAACAAGAUUUGAUUAUAAGCAAAAAAAGCAACUCAGUUUUUUGUUUCCCAAGGCAUGAACUAACCUAACCUUUUGAGGGGGAAGCCGUGAGUGACCUUUCCGGGAGGCUCCCCUCAAGACAACAGACAGCCCUACCCUAACUAACGCCCAUAGGAAAACCCCCUUGUGCAUCUGUGGGCUGUUUCACCUGUCGUGGACACCAUCACACCACACCAACUGUUCCUUUCUUCAAAAAAGAAAUCAAGGAAGCACACCCUUCUAGAAUUGGAUGUCCACAUUACUUUAUAUAUCAAAAAAAAAUUACAAAAUACGGCUAUAUAAGCAGAAUGGUAAAUUCAUCAAAUGGCACGCAUUCCCUUCCUGACAUGUGGACCCUGGACCCACGUGUCAUAGGCACAACGAGUGCAUGGCAUCUCAUCCAUUCCCUCGCAAGGAAAACCAGAGCCUGCCUGGUGUGCCAUGACAUCAUGGUUGUUGCUCCUUAGCCCUACCUUGGUCCAUAAGAUGGAUCUGUUUUGAUUCUUGCUCGUCGAGAGAGGGAAGAUCUUGAACACUGUAAACGUCACGGACGUAGAAGUUUCAGAGGCAUCGUGCACCUCUCUAGGCUGCUCUGGGCCGGGUCUGGGGCCGCCAAAGCAAUGCAAUAUUCAAAUGCACGAUGCUUGGAAGAUUCUUUGGUCGAGAGCGAGACCGUCAAAGUCACAGUUUCUAGGUCACUACCCCUCCACGCCAACCCUUUUUUUUCCUAGUUUUUUUAGUGUAAUUGUAUGCGAGCAUAAUUGUACGCAUAUGCAUACAAAGUCUGCUUUGUCAGAACUUUAGACUUGUGUUUUGCGAGUCACUUGUAUAUUCAAAUUGCAUGUGAAACUACUGCAUUGAUUCUGUCCCAGUACUCUACCGUGGGAUACUGUUUCUUUUUGUUUCCUGGCUCUGCAACUUGUGAGGAACGGAGAAGUCCAAGUCUCUGCUGUGCUGUCUACGUGACUUUGACUCUGAAGGAAAGGUAGCCGCUGCUUCUGCAUGCAUGACUGACUCUCCGUAGCCUAGCCUACGGUUGUGUUUGGUUGCUUGGCUAAGUCCUUAACCAGGCUAGUCUAAUGUAGCUUGUGAUUAUUUGGUUACCUGUUCAGAGUACGUAGUUAGGCUAGUGCAAUGGAAAAAGAUCACCUAAGUCAAGUCAGACUACACUAGUACGCCCGAAUCGAGCGUACUAGCUGAGCCAGGUUAGAUUUUAACCAGGCUAGAUCUAAACCAUGUAACCAAACACACUCUACGGUACGUUGCCAGCCUGGCCGGGGGGGUGGGGGGGGGGGGGGGGUCGAGCUGUGCGGCCGAUCUGGGCCGGAAAAACGGAGGGACCCAUCCCGUGUAUACGUGUAUAGGGUAUAGGUAGUGCUGCAGCAGGCUGAUCUGUAGGCUCUGGAAAUCCCAAACGUCGCUUGCCCUCCACACAGCUCCGCCGAAACGCCGACUCCUCAUCUCCUACUCCUAUCUCCUUGUCCGCCUGAUGCCUCAUCCGACCUCCAGAGAGCCUCCACCUGAUGCCCUGAUUUGCUCCGGGCCACAAAAGUCUCAGGAGACCGGGCCUGUACGUUGGGGACCCAGCAAAUGCAGCUGGACAGGACAGCAGUCGAAGCCGCCUCGCUCCUUCCUGCUGGACCCACUCUGUCAUUUUAGUAAUUCGGAGAAUAACUUUUAUCACAUGAUGAUGCAGCUUCCGGACGGCCGGGGUGUCAUUGUUGAGAAGAAAUUCAACUCAUUUUCUCUGUUUGCAAGGGAGAAACCAAGUUUAUUCGCAGUAUACUACAGUAACGAUUAUGGUAAAAAAAAAAAGAGAAGCAAAUAUGCCUAAACAUGAUUAUUAUAUGAAAAUGUUGCUCCUUAGUGUGUAGUACAAGAAACAAAAACCAGAUGGGUGUGGACUGGACACUCCUACUCCUUGCCUGCAAGAUUCCGGACAGCAUGUGUAUGCAACGAUGCCCGGAACACUGAAGGAGAUUGCUGAAUACAAAAGGCUAGAUUGUACUACACGAAAAGAUUCAGUGUUAGACUGGCAGUAGUAAUUUUUUAAUUACUCCGGUCAAAGUCUCCAAUGCCGCCAUUAACUACAGAGCAACUGCUAAGCAAGGAUAUCUUAGUACUAUACACAUACAUACGCCACUCUCUCAGUACUACCAGCUAAAAAAAAAAUGCAUUAGUUUGUGAUCGAUCCCCGCAGUCUACGGGAGAAUUGUGCGACUUCUGCAAGCUAGGGAGAAGUAGGCAUUUUCUUAACUUCCCACAAGAUGUGCACAUAUGCUGAAAAUGAAGGCAAAUGGGCAUGUGACACAAGGCUUGAUAGCGAGGCCUCUGCGAAGAGAUAAAAAGAGGGAAGAUGCAUGGACGGUUUGUCGUGAGUGCGAUAUAGAUCCAUGAACUUUGAAAGUGCUACGGACUCGGGCUCUUAAUUAAACUAUUGAAAUGUGUCAUCCAAGUGCAAAGUUGGCGAAAAAUAGCAUUGUUGUUGUGGUAUGUGCAUGUUAGCAUGGAAGAUUUUGAAUAGGUUAGGAAUGUAAAAUGGAUUUUUUUUUCAAAUUGAAAUGAUGACCGUACAUUUGUUACUUUUCCUUGCUGUAAAAAAAUCGUUAAUAUAUAUUAUAUUGCUUGUGUUGGAAAACAGCGUGCAACAUUGCUUGAGAGAGUUAGCUUUGCGCCGGCCAGACACGACGGUCGGUCUUUGUCCAGCUCCACACGCCAUGAAACUGACCAAAAGUACCCUACUUUUUUUAUCUGGGUUGUAUGUGAUUUUUUUUUUCACCAUUGACUACCUGCGCAGCCCUCGUCCUUUCCCGUCUCCUCCUAGCAAAUGCAAGAGUCCAUUCUUCCUUUUGAUUGUCCCAAUAUUCUCUCCUGUCAUCAGUUGACGCACACUUUUUUAAAGUUUAAAAAAUACGUACGGUUCCUAAACUUAUCUUGUAUUGUCAUCCGAGUCCUUAAACUCUGAAAAUGCAUGGUUCCUAAAUUUAUCUCAAGAUGUCGGUCCCUAAACUCUUAAAGUGCAUAUGCAUAUUUAGAUCCCCAAAUUUGUUAGCGACUUUCAUCCGAGUCCCUAAACUCUCAAAAUAAAUUUUCAAAUCUUAAAACUUGUCACCUAUCGCUGAUGGCAAUACUUUCUCCUCGCUCAUUGCCUUCACAACCACCUUCUGCUAGGGAUCACACAUGUGUUGCUUGACGCUUGAUUGGAGGAUUUUAAAAUACACUUUGAGGGUUUAGGGACCUGAUGGUAUCUUGAGACAAGUUCAUGGACCUCAAAAUGCGUUUUGAGAGUUUAAAAACCUAGAUAAUACCUCCUGACAAGUUUAGAGACCGUUUGUGUAUUUUAAUUUUUUUUAACACUCCCACUGCUCUCUACAUCGCUCACGCAUGAUCUCAGCAAUGCGAGUGUACGCACAUUGCAUGAACCAGCUGCAUUAUACCUUGCAUUACAUUACAUACGUGGUUAGCUAUGGCUGUACACGUAGGAAUACACUUGCCGAGACGCUAACCCAACCGUUUUUACUUUAGUUUAUUUGAAAUUCGUUAGAACACGCUCACUUGAGUGCUCGUACUACUGGCGAGUAGCAAAGUCACUUGUUAAACCAACACGGCAUCAUUGCACACAGGUAGCAGCCGUGGACUAGGAUGCCUCGCACUGCAGCUCACUGGUUCAAGUCUGGUAGCUGCAAGGAACCUGCCAUUUCUGAUGACAGAGACAUGCAAAUACACUGAGUAGACAAAACACCAAUGGAUGGAUUAAACUAAACUAAAUCGAACUCGUAAUAAAGGACAAUUUUUGAGACAAUAACUUAGGAACUAGGUUAAACGACGGACGCUUGUGGGGAGCCUGGUAGCCCCGGGAUCCUCCUCUCUUUACCGAAAAGUCUCCCUCCUUUUAAUUAGCCCAGGAUUGACUUUCUUUUAGCAGAGGACCUAAUUCCGUCUCGAUCGUGUCACUCAUUAGUUGACACCUGAAUCAACUUUUGUGCCCCCGGUUGACGCAUGGACGGUUUUUCGGUGACUUGUGUGGCCACCACACCGGCCACUUGGAAGUUAAGCACACGGUAGGGCAACAAAUAGUAGCAUUUCUUUUGGGUAUCCGGUUGAUGUGUUGCCGUCCCAGUGGACUAGCGCAGGGGUCCACGGUAUUCACCUCGUUCGACCGGGUGCUAACUGUCAGCCUGUCACGUCGAUCGAUUUAGUAACAAGGUGGGACAGCGGCGGCAGCGAUUGUCUCUUAUUUCCCACAUACCGUGAAAAUAAACCACCAAGUUUUUGUUUUUUUUAACUUUAAAAAAAGAAACUCUGAGUUUUGCUUCUAUCAUUAAUUUCAUUUUUGAGAAAUUAACUACCUCGAAAUGUCUAAUGAGUAGGGAGGACUAUCUACUCAACCAUCACUACACUAUAUAACACACACACACAACAUUGAUCUGAAUAGGAACCGCACCAUGAUGAUGUGCCUUUGCAAACCUAGUGGGGGACAUCUUUCCUAAUUAAGAUGGAUGGUCUAUUUCCACUAGAAGACACACGUUUGGUGCCACCGUGCCAGGUGGCCCAUAGUGGUUGAAGAUAAACACAAUGUCGAGUUACCCGCGAUGACAUAUUAGAAUGGUAGACACGAUGAUAUAGUAAAUACAAUGGAUACCGCUUUACUUUACUUUGCCUUUAGAUCAUUAUAGGUUUCUCCACCCCUACCUUUUCAGCAACUUCAACUUCUAUCCUAUCUAAUCCAAAGUGUAAGUUGCUUUAUCAUUUUCCCGUUAUCAGCCCUUCCUUUAAUUCGACCAUGAGAUUUAUGUAGAUCAAUAGGACUAUCUUAUCAGAUUCAAUAUGAAUAAAUUUUCAAUACCAUCAUUUUAUUUUAAAGGAAUUUCCUUAUAUGUUACCGAGAAAAUGCUCAUACGCCGCUGACGUAUCUAUGACAUAUGGGAGCCCCACAUUAAUUUACUGACAGUGGCAUAUGGGGAAAUUUAGAGUUUAACCAUUGGCAUGCUAGAGAUUUUCCUUUAUUUUAAGUAUCACAUUUUUAUAGGAACUUCUAGUAAAAAGCUCACCUUCUCGGAGAUCAUCUCAAUGGCCUAAAUGUUUACAUUUUAGAUUGGAGUGGGUACGAAUUUGCUUCUUCUUGCUUUCAUAUUGCCCUUCUAUAUAAUUAAGCAUCACUAUAGUCAACACAUUCUCUAUGUCUUUCAAGAUGUUUCUACUUCUCUAUUUUUUAAUUGGGUGAGUUAAGCAAUAGAAUGAUGGGAUGCAGAGAUUCUACAAGACUGAGAGCAUGCACAGCGGAUGGAACUAUGGAAGACAAUAAUGUGCAUCGAGACGGGAAAAGCCAUCGCUGCCACAUAUGACCUUUACAUACAAGUUACACACACCCUACUCCUAUAUAUGCACAUGGGAGACUAAGCGUGCAGGGUUUAAUUUGAGCUGGAUAAAAUAAUCAUAUAUAGGUAUAUAGGUGGUUAUACACCUCGUUGUUGGUGGGCACCGUCACCUGCCACCGAAAGAAUUGAAGUAGCUAUAUGCAUUAAUCAGACCUACGUACUAGGGUACGUUCUCUUAAUGCUCAUUUUUCCCCUUGCAGAACUAAGAAGAAACUGCACACCUACUGGUUGCUAUCACCUCUACACAUAUAGUCAAUCAUGUACACGUGUUCUUUUCAAGAUAAAAAUCAAGCAGUUAACGAUCUACUUAGCUAGUCGUUUCUUACAAGUUUCGACCUCCUCAAUUUUCUCCUGAGAUGUUGGCCACACCACAAGGCAUACGUGCAUUUCCUUGACCUAGCUAGUAUACCUUUUUGCCAUGCAGUUACAUACUCUCUCUUCUGCAGAUACGGAGUAUAAUAGUACUGGCGCAGAAGCUUCACUGAGAGCUUGAAAAGUUACUCCUACCAGAAGCCCUUACGGUCCAAAGUGAGCCCAGUGUUAGGUCUGCGAUCGAACCAGUGCACCUCGUUUUCUACUGAAGCUGGUGGUCACAGCAAGCAAAGCAAAGGCGCCCCACAACUAAUCUAGUUUAUAGAUGCAAAGCCGUGAGUCAUUGCCUGGAUGGAUUUGACGCGGCUGCUGGCAGCGACCUGCUGGGGAAUGUCGGGCACGCACGCGUGUUGCAUCUGCGCGUCGUUAGCGUGUGCAGGAGAAAGGAGGUUUUGGGGAUAGAAAAAAGGAUCCAGGGAGAGAUAGAAAGCUGAGCAGUGUUGAUGUGAAGGAAAGUAAUGGGAGGUGACUGGAGUUUAUGAUUGGGUGAUAUGGAAAGGCGAGGUGAUCUGUUGGCAAAGUACAUGCAUCCUCCUCCGUUUAGCUGGUGCGUUACCGUUGCUUAUUUUUAAUACGUAUCACAUCGAAGGUUUAAAUACUAAUUAAGAGUAUUAAAUAUAGAUUAUUUACAAAACCCAUUACAUAAGUGGAAGCUAAACAGCGAGAUGAAUCUAUUAAGCCUAAUUAAUCCAUCAUUAGCAAAUGUUUACUGUAGCAACACAUUGUCAAAUUAUGGACUAAUUAAAAAUAGGUUUAAUAGAUUCGUCUCGCCGUUUAGCCUCCACUUUUGUAAUGGGUUUUGUAACUAGUCUAUGUUUAAUACUCCUAAUUAGUAUCUAAACAUUCGAUGUGACGGGUGCUAAAAAUAAGCAGAAUGAACCAAACCAGACCUUUCUCUCUCUUUCCUACAUCUGCAAUAGUUAACAGUACUAGAUAACUGCGUCAAAUAAGGUUGAGAAAUUAUGUGUAGGAAAAUGGUGGUCAAAAUUCUUCUGUGCCCAACAUGGAUCCUUCUUUUUUCUGAAAAAAGUGAAACAUGGAUCCUUUUUUUUCUGAAAAAAGUGAAACAUGGAUCCUAAAACAACCUAUUUUUCACCAGAACGAGUAAGAAAGUACGCUAUAUGGAUUCCCAAGAUUCUACAUUAACAUGAAAAUGAAAAAAAUUAACCGAGAGAAGUCUCCACUAUAUAUACAUGUCCCACUACCAGGCUGUGUGAAGCUCCCUAGUGUCAGAAACCUGUUUGGCAUUUUAUUUAUUUUUGCAAUUAAAUGUAUGUAAAAAAAGGCUCCUCUAUUACUUAGUAUGUGUGUGCAUGUAUGUAACAGUCACACUUUGCAUUGGUAGCUUCAGGAUACAAUCUUUGUUCCCCAAAAUGAAAAUAUAUUAUGAGAUGCCACUAAGUAUAUAUAUUAAGACAAGGAACUGGCCAACAUUUGGUAUUUUCAGAAUUAAACAUCACACAAAAGGUAUACCAAGGUUGAUCAGAUCAGAUUACAUUUCUGAUUAAACUAGCAACCAAAGGCAAAGCACUGAAGCCACUAUAAUUAUUUUUCCUGAGAACCAGGCCACUAUUAAAGACGAUGUUCUCUUUUUUUAAAACUAUUUUCUAAAAUAUAUUUUCAUGAAUGGCGAUUGCAUUCGAUACCUUGUUUAUCUUCUCUUUAGCUAAAGCCGCUGGCAAAUCACUGUCACAAUCUCAUGUAGUAUCUGCCAAUGCAAGAUGGUUGCUGACUGUACGUGUUUAGCUCACUAGAAUGUAGAAUGUGGGUUCAUCAAAAUCCUAAGUAACUAGUUGGCCUAGUUAGGCUGCACCUCUAGAACAUUGCAACUUUGCAAGCCCCUCUAGGCCACUUCGGAGCCAAUGACGCAACAAAGUUCUUCGCAUGCCGACAACAUAUUCUAAUAUUGAUCUUUUCGAUGCUAUUGUAAUUAAUUGCUACCAACAAGAUUUGUAUCUGAUUCCUUUGGCUGCCUCCACCUAUUUUAUAAUUAAGAUAUGACCAUGUUGUGGUGCUCUGAUGAAAUAUAUACACAAAAGUACCUUUCUAUAGGACCUGAAGAAAGCAUGGCAAUCCCAACGUUCACGAUUGAUCGGUUAAAAUCUGCUUUAUUUUAAAAAUAAUAUCCGUAGGCAGAACUAUUUGAGCCAUUCUUCUACACAAUGACAUCUUUCUAGCACCUCUCAAUUUUGUUCAUUUGAUCUCUUACAGUUCUAGCACUCGUGUAGCAUCUUUGUCCCAAGUUGGCUAUAUAUAUGGCACUAUCCACAAUCGCACAAAACGCAUAAGCAGGGAUCCCUGAUUUUAAACUGUGGCUAAAUGAAUCGCAACAAAGGUUCUACAAGAAAGUCUCACCGGUGAAAAACGCAACUUUAGUCCCAGUUGGAUUGGACCAUAGUCCCGGUUGGAAUUACCAACCGGAAUUAAAGAUUUAGUCCCGGUUGGUAAUUCCAACCAGGACAAAAAGUCUCCUCAUCCCACUAUCCGUUACAACUGGGACUAAAGGGGGGGGCUUUAGUCGCGGUUGGUCUUUACAACCGGGACUAAAGCCUCUCCCGUCAGCGCCCGUCAGUGCCUCAUUUUUGACUCGUCAGUGCCUCAUUUUUGACUCAGGACUAAAGGCACUUUAGUCCAGGGUUCAAAGUUAACCGGGACAAAAGCACAUGGAUGGAAGGUCAGUUCUCUACUAGUAUAUGAUUAUUUACUCAAAGCUAUGGUGAACCAAAUGCAAUCCGUUAGUACGUAGAUAGACAAAUGCGGCUAACCUGAUCAAGAAAUGACAGCGAAGCAAAUGCUUCGAAAAUACAUAAAAAUUGACUAGCAUUUACCUGAUGUAAACAAAGAAAUAAGUUAUGGAAUCAACACAAUCCCAAAUAUAGAUGACUUUGUCCAUUAAUCUAUUAAUAUUUUUUUGCAUUAUAAAGAUACUUUCUUCAAGAUGAGCCUAAAAAUAUUGUCCUCGGACAUUCACUUUAAAUGAACUUUGGAUAGCAAGAGCAAUAAACUUAAGAAGUCUUAUUGCGCCUAUCACAAAAUCAUUUAACUGUUAGUGGGAAAUAAAUAGAUUUCUAUCAAAUGUAAUUUAGUGCCAUCAUAUAUUUUAGAUCUCUUACUAACAGAUAAAUAGAAAAAUAGUGGUCAAUCUAGAAGUGUAUCAGUGACCAUAACAUUGGCAUGUGAAAUAGAACAAUGUUAGAUUUUAAACUCCUACAAAGAUGACAUAAAUGAGCACCGGAAAAAGAGAAAAUAACGGACAUGGGUCUAGCAAUAUUGUUGGUGCUCUUCUUGUUUAUAAACGGACACACGCACGCACUCACACAUUGCAUAAGAUUAAUGGAUAUCCUAAUCAGCAAAUACCUGAAACAAGCAUCUUGGAGCAUUUUUUUUCAAUGAUACAACUAGACUAGAUUCUACCAUUUUUUCGAGCAUCCAAUUGGGAUCAAUUAUAUAUGUAUAUACCUUCUAAUCAUUAAGUUGGUUCUGUUUCUGUCUCGUCAUGCAUAGAUCUACUUUGAGCUACAUACAUUAUGACCAAAUCUUAUGAUUAGUACUCCAUUGCAUGCUUGCGCAUGCACACAUAUAUAGAUUAACUAUAAUUGUAGGUUCAUGUAUAUGGUUCAAAUUCUUUUGCUUUAGAUUUGGUCCUGUCAAUAUUAAUUUCCUUUAAAAGAUGCUAUAAUGUGUCUUCUUUUUCCCAUUUAUUUAGUUUGAGUUGUAUAUUUCUAAUCCAUAUAUGCAAAUCUUCUUUUGGUGCCCCUGUGCAAGACCCUAGUUUAACAAAUAGUUGCACAUUUGCUAUCUACCAGAGAUACAGUAUAUAUCUUCAAAAUUUGUGAACAAUUACAUUUUGAUUUUCUAGUAUCAUUAAGCUGAAAUUUAGAAAUUCCAAACUGGAAUAGUUUGAACCUCGGAAUUUUCAUCCUAAGUUAAAAGUUUGAACUUUCAAAUCAAAAUCUGACUGGCGAAUGUUAGUAGUCUCCCACCACUAUACAGUAACCAUUUUUCCACCUGCAGCUGGACAGUAGGUAUGUACAUUAAUUUGGCAUUUUCUACCAACUUGCAAAUUAUUUGAGCACUAAGUUUUGUGUAUAUAUAUUUGCAAACCUAGCUAGUGAAAUCACAUAUUACAUUUCCAGUUUUCCAAUAACUACGAUUUUAUAUUUGUGAACUAAAGCAUUAACAAAUGUGAUACUUCUUAUUAUAUAUAAUUUCUCCAAAUACGUAUUUUUUUCCUGUCUAUUACUUUCCGUUGAAAUAUCAAGCAAUGUAAAUAGUACUAAAUGACCGUUUCUCAUUGGAUUGAACUAAUACAUUUUGUCUUUGCAAAAAAAUAAUUAAUACGUUUAUCAAAGAGGGUGAUGUUUUACAGGCAAUAUCUUCAGAUACUCCCCGGUUUCUGUUUAAUUAAUGUGCAUAAGCUUCAUAAACUCAAUCAUGUAUGCUACCAUUAUUUUUUCUCAAAGGAAUUAUACUGAUCAUGUUUACAUCCACCAAGCAUCACAAACCCAUCAUUGGGAUACUCUGAACAAUUGGCAAUUCGUUGUAAGAGCAUCCUCAUGUAAGUGAUCUGGUCAUUAUUUGUUCCACUUUAUGACUUCAAUAAUUGUAAUUCCGACUAAUGAAAGCACAACAUGGAUCGACUCUUUUAGAAAUCCUACCAUUCGUAGGAAGAACUAUGUGCUAGUUGGCUUCUAUAGGCUAAAAUGGCUCCAUUGGUGUUAACCCAUUGAAUAGGAGAAAGGCGUUCCACACAAUCAGGAAUUAUGGAACCUUCUAAGUCAUUUUCUUACCCGCACCCUAAGGGAGGUGGGGGUGCUAGUGCUUUGAGAAUGAGAAUUUUUUUUUUACAGAAUUGUAUUCACGUGAGAAAGUGAAUGAAAAGAAUGUGCAUAUAUGUUUUAAGAAUAAAAGUGACAUGAUGUACCAUGCAUCAUGCACAAUAUCAUUCUUUAGCAUAUAUACCUUAGAAAAAGCUAUUUGCCAUGUACUAGUUGGAGGCUUUGGUAACUGCAUGCCGACUGGUAGUAAUUUGUCGUUAAGUUGACAAGAUUUAUCUCUUUUUGUGUGAAUCACAGUAUAAAUGCGAGCACCCGUGUUGGGUUGAGAACUUGAACCCGAGUGGAUAGGUUCUACUACAGGAACCUAACCAACUUUUGCGACAAUGUAUAUCUAUUAUGCAAUUAUUAAAACUUAUAUGCGAGGAAUUAGUUUCCACUUUAAUUGGAGGUAUGGCAUAAAUUUUGGAGCAAGGGUUCUCAAUAUUAGUUGCGAUAAAAUAGUGUACUUUAGAUAUGAAAUGUAUUAAACAUUUAAGUUAGUGUUAAAAUUCAUUGACAAAUUUAGUGUACUUUUAUACUAUAAUUCAAAGAUGGGUAGUAGUAUAUAUCAGUGGCAUUGAACGUGAUGUAUUCCAUAGUUAAGGUAAAAUGGAGGGUCUUAUUUGCCAUUGAGAAUGUUGUUCAAUCAAUUAUUUACGAAUUGUAAUUAUCCCAAUGGCAUGUGAGUCCCAUGGGCCAUGGCACCACAUGUCAGAGAAACAAUGAGCGCAAUUUUUUUUUUGAAUUGCAAGACUAAUUUGAGAAUGCAGCAAAGCAGUGAGAAGUGGGAAUAUUUGUUGUUCCCAACUUGCAAGUUUUUGCCGUCCACUGGAUCAAAAUAAUGAUCCUGUUGGGGCCAGAUUUCUAAAGGUUGGCUACAAUAACUCAUCAAGUGAGGUUGAUUUCGUUGGUUGGGAAGACCUUCCUUGGCCCUUUUGGCUGGUGAAGCUUUCUAUCAGAUGUUAGCAUAUGCUCUGCAACAUCUAUUGUCUUUGUUAGAAGAAUAUAUGGAGCUGCAGAAAGUAAAAUUGUACAUGUGUUGGGACUGAUUAUAUCUCCAAAGGACGGCAGCGGCGCUGAGAUUUUGUGGCCUAAAUUAUUUCAAAUCAUCCUAGAUACGAUGAUAAAGACAGAAAAUAUGCUAUCUCGACAAGCACCGAGCCUAAAUCAGCAUAUUUGGUCAUGCAAUUAUGAUAUACGCAUGGUAUCUAAAGAAGUGUCUUGUCUGACAGAAAAGGUCAAAUGGUGAACAGAAGAGUUGUCUUGUCAUGCAUAUAUAUUUUCCGUUUCUUCAUUCCAUAAUAUAGCAAAAUGUUAAAGUCGCGGUGUUUGACCCCCAAAUCUUGAACACAGGCGUCAGACACCGUUUCAAAAAGAGGAAUCAAUCGUAUAGUAAAUGUUUUAAAUUUCUUACAAUUUGUCAAUUCCAGUUGUUCUUAGAGAAAACCAUCCUUGUAUUAUUUCCUGACGACACCAUGUUCAUACAAUCAUACUUACCAAAGUCAGCACUUUCAAACCACAGUAUUAAAACGUUGGAACUACCAGCUAGAUGCAGCGGGGAGUCAAAAUGGUCCUAAGGUUUGGUUUUGUUGCUUUAGUUAACACUUAACAAACAUAAAAUUGCCAUUUGCAUGUUCCUGACCAAAACUUUUGACCAGGGAUCAGAGAAAGUAGAUCGGAAACAGGCCAUUCUGCAUUGAGUACUAUGCAUACAUACGCUCGCAUGCCGCAUCUUUUCAUCCGUCGGAUGCCUUGCUUGCUUUGACCAGCAACGAAGUUGAACCAACCGAACCGCACGCAUGCUAGCUUGCUUGCAGAAGUUUGCUUGAGUUAUCAUGAAUCGAGCAGUUCGAAGGAUCAGCGGAAAAGCCGUCUAGUGCAGCCACGGCCAAAUCUGAAGAAGCAUCUCCAUUUGCAUCCAUCUUGCUUUCUUAGGUGUUGUUGGGGGCUCUCUUGUUUUGGUAUCAAAUAUCAAUGGAUGCCGCAUUCUGCACAUGUUGGAUGGAACUCGAACAGGAUGCGACGACGACGACGAGCACGAGGAACGCGAGCGACACACGGCUGUAGAAUAAUACAUACUGUCUAGUUGCUAGCUGUACGUAUCGGCGGCGUAGGGGACCACGGACCACGACCAUAUAUCCAUUGCCAGGUAAAGAUCAUGAGCGAGAUGCCAACCCAGUAAGUAGGAGGAGGACGAAGAAGAAGAGAACCGAAUGAUGAUGGCGUGUGGAGGAGGAAGAAGGAAUCCAACCCAAUCCUCCUCUCUCAUGGCGCGAGUUCUUGGGCAGAUUGCUGCGGCCUAUCCAAAGGAUCCAAGCCCGUCAGCCUGCAGUGACUACCAUUGGGCUCUCGAGCCCAAAUUUAUUAUAGUAAAUGCUUACUAAUUAACUGAGCCGCAGUUUUACCGGAAUUCUUCGCAGGAUUUCCUGUAUACAACAUGUUCAUUUUUUUAAAAAAGAGCAUACAACAUGUUGUUCAUAGGAAUAUCUCUGAACGAAUAAACCGUGUUCAUACUAGUGCUGGGAUGCAUGGUGUCACGAACUCAAAAUGGUCCCAAGGUUUAGUUUUGUAUAUUCAGCCUUCCGUUAAUAAACUUGAGAUGAUAGUGCCGUUAGCGUGCCCCAGACCUAAACCUUUUGACCAGGGAUAGCAGAAAGUAGAUCACAAACAGUCCAUUAGACUUCCUUGAGCAUGACGUAAAACUUACCGUGUCCCACAAAAGCUGACAGACAAUGCAGCACCACCUACAACGUACACAAUAUCUGCCUUAAUUGUCUCUUCGAUCGCUACUGAACACAGCAUCAGAUCGAGCAGCUUUUGGCAUUUGAUUACUGGGAAUGCUUAGCAUGUGUCACUGAUUUUGUUGCAUUAAUCAAAGCACACGCCAACGCCAGCUCUAACAAACUCGUGGUGCGCAAGGCGGCAUAUAUAUGUUCAUUGGGAACAUAAAAAGAUGCCAGAUGAAGGCAUGGAAAUCGACAGCCUUGGAAGCGUGCGUGACAAUUGGACUGGAGAUUAGUAUGAUUCUGGAGAAACUAAUAAUGAUUCUAGAAAGAAGAACAGUAACAGUGGGGGAAUGACUGACUCUGACUCUGACUCUGACAACCGGCUGCUCUGCAUCGAUUCAGAUCUUUCUCCCUGCCAUGGAAUAGCUCUGGGAUACAUUAGGGUGAAUUAGGCCGUGAUUCCGACACGCAGAGGGGACGUCAAACAAACAAUUUCCCGGGCAUUCCAUGCGCACGCCCGUGCCCAUGUGUGAACGCGCUCUAUUCCGUGGCACUGCAAGCGACAUUGCUGUUGAGCUGACGACGGCGCGGCAGCAGCGUAGGGCCAUUGCUUAGCCCUGAGGCUUUGGAAUCUUGGGCGGGCGGAUGCAGAUGCGGAUGCGGAUGCGGAUCCGUUCAGAGGAAAGGCAAGGAACAUUCGCCACCGCCGGCCGCCGGUGGAUGCAUGCUUCCGUUGCUUCGGUUGACCGGCAACCGACUGAACCGCACGCUUGCUUGGGGUGGACACUGGAUCGGCAGAUCAAGAAAGCCCCGUGCGUCCACGACCAAAUCUGCAUCCGGUACUGGCUGUAUGCUACCACUUAGUAUAAAUAGUAUCUUUCUUGACGGGAAAUUAGAGGCGGUGAUGCAAGUGGUGCCGGCGUUGUAAGGCGGAGGAGAGGUGGCAGGCAGCAUGUGAUCUGAACCUGGCGUCGGUUUUGCCUGAUGAAUCACAGAAUCAUCAGUGGUUUCUUGAGGCCGGCCGGCGGCCAAUGGACACGAGCAUUCUGCACAUGUUGGAUGCGCUGUAAAGGUGGCUUGCUCGGGAACUGGAUUCCACGACCGGCGACCACGAGCGACAAGAGAAGGAGGAGGGGGCGGCGAAGGCCGUAGAAUAUCGCCGUCAAUUGUGUCCUUGUACUCGCGGCGUAGCGUAGGGGACCAUGGAUUAUUUGCCACCUUCAUUUUUGCUCUCAACUCUCAUCUCUGACGGAAGCAGCAGGAAGCAGGGAGGAAGAAACCAGCAGCGAAAGGCGAACCUCCUUUAUGCCGAUUGCAUCCAUCGAUGGCGAUGGAGACGGGAAUCGUAGUACGUGCAGAUCUGCAUGGCGGCUCGUUGCUUUCUUGCUUUGACCGGGUUCAGCAGGGGCGGUGUUUGGGCCUUGGGGGAAGGUGGAAAUGGACGGGUCUGGUCAGGGCGAGAGAUGCUUUGACAUUUGGCGGAAGCUUUCCCUGUCAUGCACUGACACACGGCGCGACCAAAGCCGAAUGACAGGUGCAUGCUGGGCCAGUUUCUUCUCUCUAGCGAACGGAUCCCGAACCCAUCAGCCCGUGGGGAUGUUUUUGGGCCUUUGAGCACAGAUAUAAUGGUCCAAAUUUUAUACAAAUGAUAGAGACAGAAAAAUACUAAAAAGAAAGCGUCGCAGUUUGCCAACAUUAGGUAUUCAUAGAAAGCCCUUGAUUUCCUGACUACAUCGUAACCAUAUUCCUCAGAGUCUCAGUAAUCUCGAACCACUUCUUUCUCCAAUACGCCAGAGAGCGCACAUCUUCAUAUUAUAAGAAGAGCAUGGACAUAUUUCUCGAAUGAUUGGAGGAUUCAGGGCGUCAAAAUGGUCCCAAGGAUUAGGUUAGCAACUUGAGUUAAUAAACACAUAGGAGUGGCAUUAGCGCCUUCCUAACCUAAAACUUUUGACCAAGGAUCGAUCACAGAGGAGCCAGGUGAGAAAAAGGCGUAUGACGGUCUGACAGACAAACAUGCCGUAAAAUAGAUUGUGACAGAAAAAAGGUGUGUGACAGUCUCUUGACGUUCUUCACUCUCGUAGCAUCAGACAAGCUUUUUGGGUGCUGACAUUGGAUUAGUAGCUAGAAUGGUUAGCAUGCACUGUCAGUAGUAUGAUGCCGUAGCGAUCAAAGCACAGGCAAUGAUGGCUGUAACCUUUACCUCAGAUCAGCGCGCGUGGUACAAUAACAAAGCAGCAAAGCUGAAUCCAAGUGUCCAAGUGCAACCAUGAACCAUGGCGAUUCUUUUUUCCUUCAGGAAGGAGGAAAGCCAGUACUAACCAUGGGAAUCUGUGUGACGGUGUGAACCUGGCCUCGCUUAGGCCAUAAUUCCGGCACGCAGAGAGCCAUGCGCAUGCGCUUGAUUCCCUUAUAGAGACAUCCAUUCAGUUUCGUGGCGAUGCGGGCGUCGUUGCUGUUGAGCUGGGGCGGCCGCGCAUUUGCUUUCUAGGCUUGGAAUCUCUUGGUUUGGUUUUGCUUUGACCGGCAACGAACUAACCCGCACGCUCGCUUGUUUUUGUUUCCCUGUCGGGUUGGGCAGAUGGCUGGGGCAGAAAGCCGGGGGCGUCCACGGCCGAAUCUGUAGUACAACCACUACUGGCAUUGGCAGUGUUUCUUUCUUGCAGGGAAUGGAAUGCAAAGAAAAGAUGUGUCAGUGCACGGCAGAGAGGUGGCAGCAUGUGAUCGUCUGAACCUGGCGUCGCUUUUGCCAUGGGAACCAAUGGGCGAAGCAUUCUUCUGCACGUGGGAUACUGCUCGUCUAUGGCUGUCAUAGUUGACAGAUAGAUCAGGCCGCGAGUAAUCGCUGUAAUCUUUUUUUUCUUCCUUUGUUGCGGGGCUAUUUCGAUGCCCCGCCUAUUAAUUAACGCCGGGAAUCAUUGCGGGUCUUUCGAGAGAGAAAAAAAAUGCAAAGUGAAACUGCACGAAGCGGGAACGAAGAAACGAGGGAACAGUGAAAGGCGAAUGGCCUUUGUGCCCGAUGCAUCCAUGCCAGUUGACAACAAUGGCUGCAGGCUGCAGCAUGGCCGUCUUUUCUUUCUUUGCGACUGGAGUUUGGAGGAACUACUCCAUCACUUCGUGCUCCCACAUGAACUAAUAUUUUUAAAAACUACUGUAUUAAAAAUUAUUUACAAAUUAGACUCCUAGCUAAUAAUCAAAAUUGUUUACGUACUACUCUUUUUUUUAAUAUUUCAACAUAAUACUUAUAUAGAUAUGUAUUUAUUUUUAUCCUGUUACGAUUGAUAUUUAAUUAGUAAUUACUCUAUACACUUUCCCAUCCACAUGCAUACCUUUUUCAUUUUGUAUUGCACCUUCAUAUGGAUUGUGUUUAGCAUAAAAAUCGAUAUUUUUCAUCACUUCCUUAAAUACAUGUAUAAAUGGUCUACAUAGUGACACCCAUCAUGUUCGUAUAUACCUUAACUUAGUAUUUGUAUAUUAACAAUGAUAUAAAUAGGUAAUUCGGAAUUAGUUUACUUUUGGACAUUUCUUUAUGAUGAACAUGAAGAUAGAUUAAGAUUUAGGUGUUUACUUCAAGUUAUUUUUAAUAACGAUAUACAUGGGUAACUUAGAUACAAAUUUAGAAUGGCAUUUUAAGUCAUGGUUUAUAAUGAUAUGCAUGGGUAAAUUAGAUGAAGAUUACGAGGUUACUUUAGAUCAUUUUUUUAUAAUGGCAGAGCUAGGUAGUUUAGAUGAAGAUUAGAGGUUAGUUUAGUUUAUUUUAUAUAAUGGCAGAUAUGGAUAAUUUAGAUAUAGAUUUAGAGGGUUAUUUUAGGCUAUUUUCAUAAUGGCAUAGAUAAUAGAUUCAAUGGCUAUGAUGAUUUGAGUGAUGGUUAAAUACUUAUUUUUUAAAAAAUUUCUAGCAUUUUUAUUUUUUUAAGAAUAUCCGUAUGAUUCCUAGUGGCUUCGUUUUAAAAAGCCUCAAGAUCGCAUGAAACUGAGGCGGCCACGUGUCGCGCAGAGAAACGCUCGAGCCUUUUGACCUUUGCAGACGUGGAUAUGGUCCCUGGAUGCGCUUAUUGCUCGCCGUACGAAGCAGAAGAGGGCAAGAGGCAGACUUCCACGCUGGACCAGAGUCGGCCCAACUCGCUCCCAUCGGGCUGUAACGAUACUAUUAGGCUUUGCAGCCCAAGUUACCAGUAUGUAUGGCUCUCAAAAGGAUACCACGAUCAAAUAAGGCCCAAAACAACGGAGGAACUGGAUACACCUCUGUGCGAACUAUCUCUUCUUCAGCAGUUCUUGCCUUACGCAAACCUCACAGAUUUACAUUUCUUACACUACCAGGCAUCAUCCACGAUGCCCCUAUAGCAAGCUACAGUGCCUAGAACACCACAUUCAAAAUGUCUACACUCGUCACCCGACAUACAAUACACGAACCAACGUCCUGAGGGCACCUUGCCACUCCGCAGUUCAAAAAGAGCGGAAAUGCAGGCCGCACCACUCAGGACCCGCGCACGACAAAAACAGUGCGCUUCGGUACACAACAAACGUAUACACUCCGGCCGGCCGGCUGGGCACCUCAGAAGAAGAACGAGUCGAGGUAGUCGUACGACCGCCGGCGCCGGAACUCGAGCACGCCGCCGUAUGUCCGGUCGGCGACGCUGACGAACAGGGCCUCGCCGUCGGGGCUGAACGCGGCGCCCGCCACCUCGCCGAACAGGUCCACCUCCUGCUCCGCCCCGGCGUACCCAGCCGCGGCGUCGUACACGUGCACGAAGUCGGCGGCCUCGGCCGCCGCCAGGAACCGGCCGUCGGGGGAGAACCGGAGGCCCCGGACGGCGCCGAUCCGGCCGCCCAGCACGGCGAGCGGCUCGGAGAGGUUGCGGACGUCCCACAGCCGGCACGUCGCGUCCUGGUUCCCCGUGGCCAGGACGCGGCCGUCGGGGUGCCACGCCGACGCGAACGAGUAGUCCAGGUGGCCGCGGAGCGUCGCAAUCUCCCUGCCCGACUGGGAGUCGGCGAGGAGGCAGUCCGGGCUGUCGCCGAGCACCGCCAUCAGCUUGCCGUUGGGGCUCACCGACGUGUUCUGCAUCCAUUUUUGCCGGUGUCAGAAAUUCAGUAUCCGGGUUAUUACCAAGAGCAGCAGCAUGGAUCCUUCGACGCCGGAUACUCACAUUGACGGACCACGGGAAGGUGAACUGGGUGAGCAGGCUGUAUCUCGCGGUGUCGAACGUUCUGACGACGCAGUCGUUGUUCGCGGCCAUCACCCGAGUGGCGCCACUGCAUCAAAGGAUUCAAAGCUUCGGUUCACAUACUCCUUACUAGUGGCUUGUAUUCAGAAUCUGAACCGAUAGCAAGACUCGCUUACUCGGGCGACUCGAAGAUGUCCACGGCGUUCGUGAUGGAGUAGUUGUUGCCGGUCAGGUUCGUGCAGAACGCCACCCCGGGUUUAUCAACGUACUGAUGGCCACAAGAGCGAGAAGACUUAUGAGCUGAUAAAAUUCAGGAAAACACUGAAGAGUCUGCACAUGGUGCACUCCUCGUACCUUGCAGAUGAGCUCUCCCUGGAAACCACCGGCCACCAUGAGGUUGUCCUUCAGUGCCAUGGUACUGAUUUGAACCCUCGACAAUGGUCUAGCCCCCUUGACAUCCUGCAGAGCAGGUAGCACUCACAGGUUCAGACUUCAGAGGCUGGCGAUCAAGCUCAAAAUAGCAGAAAUACGUGUGACAUAACGAUAGCACAGACUGCAGACCUCUGUUGGGGUCAACUGGCCGGCCACAUUGAGAACUUCUCUUCCUCUCUGGAACAGGGGAGACCAGUGCAUCACAGAGUAGUUCUGCACCAGGUACACGUCGUGCUUCGAAGCAGCCCACAGGAGGUUCCUCAACUGCACAUGUUUGGACCAUGGUCAUUACACUUGACACAGAUGUUUCAGAGAAUGCAACAGGAUACAAAUCUUUUACAAGAUGUGACGGAUGCAUGAUUCAGGUACGUGGCACUUGUCUUUUCUUAAUGGUAAAAGUAUCAUGAAACUCGUUGAUCCAUUCAGUCAUCCCGCAUGCACAGAUGGAAGAAUAAGCUCAACUUUGUAUGUCCUUAUGUGCGAUCCCACUAAUGCACUGGUACCAACCUUACAAUUUUACAAGCACAGACCGAACAAGCAGCACCUAGUAUUCUUGCACGCAUACAAAUGAGAGAAUUCCAGAUGCUUAUUCAGAUUUUCAACUGUGAAGCCCUUGUGACCCAUUGCACUGUUAGCCUUACAUACAUGUUAGUUUUGACAGGGCCUCUAUUUUCAUGGACAAUAUACAGGAGGAAAUGGAACAUUCAAUGUUCCAAAUUCUGUGUCUACAAUCUGUAAAUCGUAGUAUCUAUAAUUUGUAACACAAAGGCCGAUAAGAACUUUGUGUUGUUGAAGUCCCAUGUUAGCACUACCUUCAGAAUGAUGACACACAAUAGCUCCAAACGAAUACCAUGCUUUGCACACCAUUUCAAUUGGCACGAAACUGUAACACGAAGCAUAAGUUUGCACACCAUGUCUGUUAGUAUGAGAAGCCUAUCAAACGCUAUGUGUAAAGUUUAAGAACAAAUGAUCGUGCAUCAAAUAAUUUGUGAGUGCUAGCUCUUCCAUCCACCUGCAAAACGCAAUUCGAACUGAUUCAUUUAACAUCUUUUCCUAUCAUGAAGCAUCCUAUCAUACCAUAUUCCCACCCUGUAGUUAGUGUUCCGGCUGCUCAGGAUGCUCAUCAUAUCCAUCUGCUUUUGUUCCUGAUGAAACAUGGUACUGCAAAUGUCCUAAUAUCACAAGAUCAAUUGCAAAUAUGCAACCCCGACUCGUUACAUGACCUGCAAUCAGUGUUACGUUCAUACACAGAAAGUAGCAGCACGAAUAGCAACAUCAUUUAAUAUAGAUGGUAUAAAUCAAUAACUCGUACAAGACGAUAUGCACAGCAGUACAAAAUAUUUUUCGUGGUCUCAUGGACAAGUUAGAAUACUUUAGAAAAAAAGUGCAUUUGUUGUUGCUCGGUAAUCGAACUUGCCGGACAAGGAAGUUUAAGAGGGGCUAUUUCACAAUUGGAUCUGCUAUUGCUUACACUGUAAACUUGACAGGAAGAAAAUAGAAGGGAAGCUCACAAUCCGCAACGGACUCUGUGCUUGUGCAGACAUCUCAGUUUGGUAAUUCUAUUAGUGUGCUCCAAUGACAAAGUAUGUUGUAACUGUGGCAACCAGGACUCUGAUUGUAUUUUUCCAAAAAACGGGAUAGAGGCCGUGAUGGGUGUGAGAACCGACCCUUGUUACCAACCCUUCGGAUUAAUAUACACAAAGCCUCAAGAGGUAAAUAGCACUGUGCUUCAUGAUGCAAACUGAAGUAAUGAACAGUGAAGUAACCCAAAAUCAACAAGAAGCACCACACAUCUUGGCACAGCAACUUUUAAAUUGCUGAUUUGUAUGAUGGCCCAUGACCCCAUGACCAACGGAAUGAAAUAAGUAUACUGCUACUCUGCCACUUUAUGAAUGCAGAUCCGUCAUUUUUAGGUGAAAAUGGCUAUUAGCAAUGACAGCUGAAUACUUUUCUUAGUGUCAACUUCAAUAUUUUGAUGUAAAAAGAUAAUAAUUUGUGAGUAAACUGAAUGGAACCUUCACAUCCUCACCCAAAAAUAUCUUUUAUGCAAGUGGCUGUUUCAUAUGCAUGCAAGUGUUUGCAUGAAAUUGUCCAAGUAAAAUUGUACCUGGAAAUGCACUAUGGUUGAUUUGACAGAUCUCGUGCUGGAAUGGAAAUCAUAGAAAGUAUCCUUUCUCUCCACUUGUUUGCAUUCCUUCAUAAACAAAAUAAACGUAUCAGGCAUUGUAUAACGAAAGGUAACUGGGUUAAUAAAACUGUAAAUGCGAUUAUGAAGAAGCAAAACGAUAAGGCUCUCACCUGUUCUAGUCCGCUGCGUGACCUCGUGAGGUUCUGAUAGUUCUUGUAUUCCUUCAGCCUCAUCUCGCGGUACUGGUCCCUACUGUAGUUCAACCUUUCCCAGGGUAUGCCUUGGAUGUCUUUCCCUUCUUUAUAGUCCGAAGCUGAAGUAUCAUCCAUUUGCUCAUGCUGCUAGAGUAGAACAUUACUUAGAUAUGAAAAAAAAUCCCUACCCCUGUAGGUCCUACAGCAAACAGCUCGGGCGUUGUUCGCCUAUAUCUUUGGUGUGUGGUUGUAGAAGAAAAAUUGCAGUUUAAGGACUAGUAUCAAUUCCUCUUUCCAACUGUCUGCACGACUUGUUCACAAGAACGGCAGCGGCUUAUAUCAGUUAAUGAUUCUCUUGUUGUUUCCGAUUUUUUAUACUGGGUCAAUCGGAUAUCUCAGGUAUUGUCUCUUAAAAAUUGUGAGCAUGCAGACCCCCUGCCAGGAUUGGGAAACAAAACACUGCGACAGUGAUCUUCCCUAGGUCGCCCCAGGUUUUUGUUAUUGACUUGUAGUAUUUGGAACUGGCUGUUCACUGGUUCUUUUUCUUUAACAGAAAGUAGUAGAGCAUAAUGAUAACAUUCCUUAUGAAGAAGCUAAGGGCAUCAUCGUAGCCCUGAACCUUCAUUAGUUUCUUCUGAACCUACCACAGUGCACUCGGUCACAGAACAAGCAGAAGUAAAUGACAGAAUCGAACGGGUUCUGUUUAGAAUCUGAACUUGCUAUGGGUUGUCUUGAGUUCACUUUUCCGUCGCAGGUUUGGACGGCUUUGUGUACGUAAAAACUCGUUUGAACACCCCUAACUAAUCCUACUACUAUUUAUGUCUCAUCAAAAUCAAGCAAGGGGUAGUAGUAACUUAAUUGUCAGCGUCAUAGUCAUAGCGAGACAUGGAGGAGCAGGAGGGUGUACUGAGAGGCGUACCUGCAGGCCGGAUUCGCCACCGCUGGCGGUCGGGAACCCGUCACCGAAGUCGUCGUCGAAGUAGUAGUACUCGCCGUCGGCGGCGACGAGCUCCAGGUCGUCGCACAAGUCGUGCGCCAUGCUUGCUACCGGCCGUCCGGAGCGGCGAACAGGCGGGCGAGGCGGCAGUUUUCCGGGCCUUGGUUGGAUCGGAGUGGAAGCUUGAGAAGCGAAGCGAGGUGGGGGGGGGCACGGGGUUGGAGCUUGAGGAGAUACCAGGGAAGGGAAGCGUUAUAUAGGCGCGCGAGGGUGGGCGGCGGCCGACGUGGCUGCCGUUCCCGCUGCGGCGUCGCCGUCCGCGACGGUGGUGGUGGCGACUGGCGGGGAAGCGCGAGGGGGGGACCCGCGGCCCAUCCCAAAACAACGUCCCGCGCUGGCAGGUCGCGUCGGGUUGUGCGAGUGCGAUCGUGUCGGCCGCCCGCGUGUUCUGAGGCGUGGAGGUUUUUGCUCGAAUGCGUUCCGCUUCCGCCAGCUGCCGGUGCACGCCCGCGCGCGGCGCGCCUCGACACCCGUCUCGGGCGCCAGAUCCCCCGGUGCCGCGCGUACGAGGCCAACGGGGGUGACGAGGCAAGGUUGGUGUUCUCUCCGCUUCGCAUCAACUUGAUGCGUGGUGAUUUUCCCGCCAUAGAUAAUGUAUCAUGGUGGCGGUGGCUAACGAACUGAUAACGACAGGCCCGGCCGGGCGCGGUUUCCGAGUAGAAUCCGUUCAGCACUUGUACCACAGUUUGGGUGCAACAUGGUGACCUAGUAGGCACUGAACAGGGACUUUGGGCCCACACGGCGUUCAUGUGGCGAACACCUGAUUAACCGACGGUUUGUCCGGUACCGACGGCUGCUGGUGAGCCGAUCGCCAGGACGGACUACGCAAGAGCGAUUCAAAGAAUUCAAAACCUAAAUUAAUUUUGGUCGGUUUGACCGAGACCGCGUGAUCAGGUUGGUUUGACAGGGACCGUGUUUACGGAUAACAGGGAUGCUUUAAUUGGGAGUCGGAGAUCUUACCUGACAUGCGUAGUACGUGGUACCAGCUAACUGGCGUAGCCCGGACGACGCGUCACCUGCGCGCUGCGUUCCACGGCUCCAGCUCAACCGCUCCAUCCUCGACCUGUCUCCUAUGAGACCCUGUGCAAGCAACCCGUCAGUGUCAAUAGUAGAAUCUCAGGCCAGCUGUCACCCAUUUUUUUUUGUCUCUCUUCAAUUUAUAUUAUCCGGACUGUCACGGAAUUUACGUGAGGUACGGAGUACUAGUUUUUGUGUAGAAAAAAAAUCAAGCAAGACGUCACUGUGACUGAGGAUUAUCUUUUUUUGAGAUCGACUUGAGGAUUAUCUUUUGAGUUCGACUGAUCCCAGUCGUGAGAAGACACGGGCCCUGAUUGAUUUCACUUGCCAAAGGAUUGCGUGGCCCACCACUCACCCACCGUCGUUUCUCGCACAAUUCCAGUUGCGCUGAAAGAAGCAGCACUACUGGUAGCCGGCCUGUGCUGGCGUCUUCUUUUUAAGUUGGGCUGAAGAAGAAUGGGCUGGCAAUAAAUCCGUUUUUGUGAGUUGGGCUGAAGAAUGUGCUGGCAAGUAGUCCUUUUUGACAGUUGGGUUGAAAGAAGAUCGCAGUGAGCUCUGGAGUCCUUUUUGUCCCGUCUGGCCCAUAAGACGCUGCCAACCAGCAUCUUCUACCUCACAUGGCCACUGACAGACACUCAGGCACCAAAGCAUGCAAGGCCAGGUCAAAGCGCGGACGCAGUGUAAGUAACCUGAUGCUAAUCCAAAUCGCAGCAAGCCAGCCACCUAGUGGCACGUUAUCACAUCUAACUGAGCCUUGCAAUCAACAACCUCACCGCUGCAGGCCUGUCGUCAGUUCGUCACUGUAAGUUGUAACUAGUUCAGCAAAUCAGCAGAGUGAUGGCCUACCUGUGAAUCCAGUUUUAGAAGUUGAAGGUUGCAUAACCAGCACAUCUGUACUUGUUCGAAGCUUUUACGACGGACAGAGUUUAAACGUAUUCUCUUGUGUUCCUAAUCGCACUAUGUAUCUAUCCAGGAGUACGGAUGUGUCAUGUGUGCCUCUGUGAAGCCAUUUCGCUACGUACAGCACCGUGUCAGUAGCAUCAGAAUUCAGGCAACAUCGAUGGAAGCACGGGAAGUCAGUCAGAUACUCCAUAAAACAUCUCAAGUAGCAGUACAUCUCAACAGCAGAGGUAACUGAAUCACGGCGCGCAGCUCCACGGGAUAAUCGCAAUAAAAGGACGGUCACUCUCACUCAGCCAGGACGGCGCAGCAUGCUGCGUCGCCGUCCGCGACGGGGUGGUGGCGUCCCGACCGGCGGGGCCGCGGGGGGAGCGCGAGGGGGACCCAAGGCCCAUACCAAGCGUCCCCCGCUGGCAGUGGCAGGUCGCGUCUGGGUCGGGGCGUGUGAUUGGCCGCUGCCCGCUAGCUGGUCGCACCUUGCGAGUAGAAUCCAAUCUCCCAAUAUUUUUCGGCAGUAAUGGUGCAAAAUUGUGAUCUAUAGUAGGACUAGGAGGCUCGACCCGUCGUGUGUAAUUGGCUGGUUAACAAUUCUUUUUUUUAAAAAAAAUAAGACCAAACCGGCCGAUUAUAUUUAGAAGACGUAGACCCAGAGGGAACAAAUACAACGACUGGUUCAUUGGGAUAUUGUCACCCUCUGGACGGAUUGUGGGCGCACGCGUAGUGGCACGGUGAGAUCGGCGCGCGUACAUACGUACCACCAAACACUCUGAAAAGCAGACGUGGUGAGCUGGUGGGCGCGGUGCCGCCCGCUCGCGUUGGAACGUUUGGCAGUAGCAGCAGCACGCCAGGUCGCCAGCACCCGCGCUGGUUUCUGCCCCUGAAAACACAGCUAGGUCAGGUAGCUAAGCCAGGUGCCCGCUUGUCGGUCCAUGCACGCCGCACCUAGCGAGCAGGCGGCUCAGCAAGCUCGUCGGGCGCGUGGCAAAAUACCGGGCCCACGCAGGUGACCCGUGCUCGUCUCGCCCCCCGGCCCCUGUGUUAGUUGCUGAUCUCCCCGACGUCGCCGUCGCCCGUCGGGGUACUGCAAAUGCAAACGCAACCGGCCGCCGCCGCCGGGCAUGAAAGCGACCCCGACGUGCAGGGGUGCGGCGGCUUGCGAUAGGCUGCCUUACCCAUCCAUUCAUUCCAGCCAACCCAGCAGAGCGACGACGGAGCCCACACGGUGUUUACGUGGCAAACACCUGAUUAACCGACGGUUUGUCCGGUGGCGACGACGGCUGGUGAAUCGAUCGCCAGGACGGACCCCUGAAGAGCGAUCCAAUGAAUCCCGCGUGUCGCCGUCGUUCCGGAAGCAGCGGGCGGCGAGCAGAACCGCGAGCUGCUGCUGCGCCUACGCGCGCGCGAUUCAAACCUGAUUUUGGUCGGUUUGACCGAGACCGCGCCAUCAGGUUGAUAGAGGCUGUGUUUAUGGAUAACACUAAACUGGAUGCUUCGGAGUCGGAGAUCUUACACCUGACAACAUGCGUACGUGUGGGUGGCUAACUGGUGCAGCCCGGACGGCCGACCUCACCCGCGUGCUGCAUUCCAUGCAUGAUCGAGCUCAACCGCUCCCCAAUCCUCCACCGGUCUCCUUCUCCUCCGAAACACUGUGCAACUGUGCAAGUAACCCGUCAAUCCUAGCCUGUCACGUCAACUGACAACUGUCACCCUUAUGUCCAUCUCCCUCCCUCUCUCUUACGUUAUCCGGACUGUCAUGGAUUUUACGUGCUACUGCUAGUUUUGUAGGAAAUUGAGCAAGAUACCACUGUAGUUGAGGAUGAUCCAGCAGAGGUACACCGGCGAGAUUCAUUUCAGUCUUUUGGCAGGACCGCGUGGGGCUCUAUAUAUCAGUCUUUUGGCAGGAUCGCGUGGGGUUCUAUAUAUCUACCUGAGGAUAGCAAUUGAACUAUAAAGUCUGACAAGAUCCAACUUCAUAUUUCCGUUUCAAAGUCACCGAAGCCCAACUGAUGAUGGCCCAUUCAAUAUUUUUAACGGAUAAAAAAUGUUGAACCUAUAUUUUUUUUAAGAAAUGUUGAACCUUGAGCAACAUUUUUCAAAAAUGUUGACCCUCAACAUUUUUCAAGAAAUCUCGAAAAAAGUUGAACCAAUGUCUUUAAGAAAAGUUGAUCCAACAUUGUUCGAAAAAUUUAUUUCAACAUUUUUUCGCACCUUCUCCAGCUCCGGCGGCCAACAAGGGCCCCUCUCGAGAACAUAGGAGCUAGCGCGGAGGUAGCAACACCUCAUUUCUUACGUAGACAAGUUACCGACUCUACCCAGAACAUAGGGCCUGUUUUGGAGCACCCCACUCCAGAAAAACCAGCUCCACUCCACCAGCUCCACACUUUCCUAGCUCCACUCUACCGACUCUAAAAAAACAUAGAGCUCCUGUACGUGUUUGGCUGAUGGCAGUGCUCCAGCUCCAAACAUGUGAACACUUGUUGUGAAUGGUCUAUUUUACCCUUUGUUAACGGACCCACAUGUCAUACUCUUCUAUUUUCUCCUUUCUUCUUCCUCUCUCUCCUCUCCUCUUCUCUUCUACGGGCACCUACCAGAAGAUGGACAUGGACCGGCCUACGCCCCGGCCGCGCCGCCGCGGGGGAGCUCGCCCCGGGCGGCGCGGCGGGCGGGCGGCGAGCGGCGCGUCGGGGCGCGGCGGGCGGCGGCCGGUGCGCGGGUGGGACGGGGUGGCGCAUCGGGGCGCGGGUGGGACAGGGCGGCGCAUCGGGGCGCGACGGCCGGCGGCCGGCGCGCGGGUGGAACGGGGCGACGGGAGUUUUAUGUUUCGCGAACCGGUACUGUGUAACGAGUGGCAAUGGUGGGUAAAUACCCACGAACUCCACGAGGAGGUCCGUACAGGGGUUUUUUGGAGCACCUCUUGAGGUACUCCACAAAAAACGUGGAUCUACCCCCCGCUCCACCUUUUUCUUGGAGCCGAAGUUGCUAGAGCUAGACGCGUUUGGCUGCAAAAUUUUCGAAGUUGGUGGAGUGGAGCAAUUUUUUGUGGAGUGGAGUGCUCCCAAACACCCCCAUAGAUGGAUAGGAUUUCCGGAGUGCGUGGCCCACUUCCCGUCGUUCCCGCACACGAUGUGUGAUUGGGCUCAAAGAAGCACUGGUAAGCCGGCCGGCCUGUUCUGACGUCCUUUUUAUUCUUUAGUUGGGCUGGAAAGAAGUCCUUUCUCUGAGUUGGGCUGAAACGAAAGGAGUCGACCUUUUUAGACACACACGAUCGCGUUGAGCCCAUUGAAUCAGGCCCAUAAGUGGACUUUCGGCCUCGGUGAUUUACUGGCUUCUCCCGAAGUUUUCUAUUCUGUUUCUACAUUGAAAUGGAGAGAUCUUUUAAUUACUGGCUUCUCUCGAAGUCAAUUAAAAUCUAAAGUAUCACUUAAUUAAAAUCCCAUCCAAACAACACAUGAGGCAAACAAAACUUAAAAUCGCAGGCCACCUAGCUUUCACGAAUUCAGGCCUCUCCUUCGGACAUCAUCACAUACUGAAGACCUGGUGCUCGGUGUAUUUGGAUGGAGGUACGCGGUGGGACGCGACAGGAUCAUCCCUCUUUUGAAGGAUGAGAUAAUCUCACCUAGUGUUUGGUUAGAGUGACGAGGACGUCAGUUCAUUGUUUGGUUGGUAGAAUAGGACGGUUCAUUAUUGACGAUUGUUUGCAUCUAGUUAGUAGCAGGGCCCAAAUGUCAACCGCACAAUGGCGUGGGACCCGCGUGUUAGUCAACAAAAAUAGAGGACAACUAUUGCCAGAGCUCGAGAUCCCAGAUCUGGCCAGUGACGGGCCUGGCCAGAGGGGCGCUUCAUUCGUCAGCGAGAUAGGGUAGUGUGGCGGAAUCGUCCGACUUAAACUGGCUUAAAUGCGUCUAAUCCCUGUCGGGACAACAAUUAUUCAAAAUACACUUAAAACAGUUCAAAUCCGGUAGUCCGUCGAGUGUCCCUAGGACGCCUUGAAUCAUCCACGAUUUGAAUUUUAGCCAUACAUCAAGAUCGCUUUCACGUUGGGAAAGCAUCAACAAAUAUUACAUUUUACAUAAAUACUGAAGAUACGAGUUAUUACAAACCAUAUAUUGAAAUAAACUUAGGAUGUAAGUUAAACCACUCUAGGAGUUUCAAACUUAAAUAAGUCUGGGACAUAAGGUAGUUAACAACCAAGUUUUUUUUACUAGGGUAUCGCGAGACUUGUAAAAUACCCCAGUUCUUCGGGACUUCUUCCUCGGCUGCUUCCUACUGCGCUUCUGAAAACAACAACAAGGAUCCCCUGAGUACGAGGGUACUCAGCAAGACUGACCCGACUAACCAAUAUAGAUAGCUUUUCAAAACUGAAUGACAGCUUUUUGGUACUGGCUGACUCACAUUUUGCGGAAAAAAUACUAUAAGUGGAACCUUAACUUUUAAUCUUUUAUUUCCGUUUAGUUUUUACCUAACCAGUCUAGAUGAAUGAAAAUAUUUUUAGCAACCAAGUGGAACUAAGUCAUACAACAUCUUAAUUUCUGAUUGCACUACGAUGCUUAAGCGAUGAUCAAGUGCAUUCAUAAUCAAGAAUUGCGGCGAUCUGAACCGAUUUACAUCCUGCAGGAGAUACCCGACCACCAGCUAUGUACAACUGUAUGUACAACUGUCCAGGUUCCACAUAACGACCUUUCGAUUAGCCGUACCCAACAAUUGGGAAUAUGACUACCCGAACCUAGGGACGCACCCCCACUGGGACCCCACGUCUGGCCUGAUCUCCAUGUGAGUUUCAGGCCACGCCCCUACCAUUCUCCAGCACGUCAAGCACAUGUACGAAAUAUUCCCGAUAGCCAAUUAACCUACCGGGCUUUGCUGGUCCCAUACACAGUAAGCAACCAGGUAAAAUCACUUGAUCAAAGGUUAAGACAACGAACGGGCCUUAACCAAUUUAUUAACUUAGUAGACAGAACUACCAUCUCUAGCUUCUGUCCACAUUUCCAAUUUCCAAGCUAUUUUCCUUGAUUAACAUGUAUGACCAAUUUAAUAUUAGAGUUGAGUAACCACUCACAGGUAUCUAGGCAUUGGUAAGCAUAGGAGAGUUACUAAUUAGUUGAAGGUAGGAUAAUGCACAAGAGUGGUUUGCAAUCAACUCCUAGACUUAAUGCAAUCAUAAAGAAAUAACCAAUAGAUGGACUCAUGAAUAAUACUCUCUGAAAUUAGAUAGGUGUAGAUGCUCCGGGGCUUGCCUGGGAUUACAAAGAUGUUAGUUUCUUUAGGAUACCUUCCAAAGAAAGGAGUGACUUCAACGUCCUUCUUGAAUUCCUGACGAACUUCAGAUGCAUUCCACGAAAACCACUUCAUGAACUUCAGGUUCUACGAUAUGAUGGAUGCAAGUUACAACGAUACGAUGGAUGCAAGUUACAGUUAGGAUAUGCGAACCUUUUGAAAGACUGACUAUACAACUUAUCUUUAUGAUAAAGUUGCAAGCCAACAUUAAACUACCCAUAAAAGAUUAACCCACAAUUUAUUUUCUUAACUAACCUAGCUUAAACCUUUUCUUUAUUUAGAAAAGCAUUAUAAAUAAAUUCUAAUCUCAAAACCUAAUUCCUAUGAAUUACAAAGAAUUUGUGAAUAAUAAAACAUUAUUCAAAAUCGUAUACAUUUUAUAACGACUAAGUAUUUAUUUAAAUACCUUAACCAAAGGUACACUAAAUAAAUACCUAAUUUUUAUUACCUUUUCCUAGGGUGUAAGAAUUAUUAAUGCGUAAAGGAAGAUAAAACAUUCCUAAUAAAAUUGGUUUCACUAAUUUUGGACAAUUCUAUAAUUUCUGGUGAAUUAAAUAGUGAAAACACAAAUUUAAACUAUUAUCUACAAACUGAAAAACCUAUCAUUAUCCCCACCCCGCUGAAAAACCUUUCUCACUCACCCACGUCCUACCCACAGACUCAGACACGCGGGCCCGCUCGGUCAAAAACAGAGGGCCGGCCUUAACCGCGGCUCCCCUAGCGGGUAACAACGCUAGCUCUCCGGCGGCGAGGUCUCCGGCGGCGGGGACUGGCUAGCUACGCUCCCUAGGGCCACCGCACCCCCUGGUGGGGUUCUUGGCCCGGGCGGUGGACUGAACAGGGGCUUGCGUCGGCGGCGGCGGCGCUAGGCGAAUGGCGACGCGCAAGAGCGGCAACUCGCCGGCGAUGAGGCUUGCGAGGGCGGGGACUCCUCUACCCGACUCACCACAACUUCUUGCAUCUAACGAUGGUGUUCUAGUGGUGGUUGGCCUCACCACGACAGAGGACUGCACAGGGCGGACGGGGUGCGGCGGCGACAACGGACGAUAGCGCUAGGCGGGCGGCAGCACGCAACAGCUCACUGACAGCGACCCGGAGGCAACAAGCAGCCUCGAUAGCUCUACGCAAGCCCUAGCAACCGAGCGCGCUCCUAAGCAGCAGCUCACUGCGGUCGGAGCACAACCCUCCACGGCGGCGGCCAUGGCUGACGCGCGGUGCGGGCGUUCCGGCGAACCCAACAGGACUCCAAGCCAACAAGCGAGACCUACACCAACCUUAGCUCAAGCUUGACCACCCCAAGACCUUGGACAACCCCCAGAACCUUGGCACCCUACCCCUCCACGGCGGCACCUUAACUAGAACUAGCGGCGGACAAAAUUGAGGAAGAGGACGGCGGGGACGGGCUCGCCGGCGUGGAGCUGUGGAACGGAGGGGCGUGGGGUGUGGAUGGGAUGGUGGUGGAGCUAUGGACGGGAGGAAUCGGAUGGCGGUGGACGGAGCUACGAGAAAUCGAGCCCGAGUUACAGCUCUAUUCUUUCGGUGGGGAAAAGAAAGGAAGGGCGGCGGCGGCACCUCGGUUUAAAGGCUGGGAAAGACGGUUGUGGCAGAUUAGCUCGAGCGCGACACGUAGGGAGCUCCGGUGGCGAAGCAGCAGCUGCGUGGCACGGUGGUGCUGCGCUGUCCCAGCAUGCUGGCGUCGAGCUGUGCUGCACGUCUCCUCCUCUAUUAUGUUUCUCCCCCCUUCCUUCUUUCAAAUCUGAAACUUCAGUUCCAAAUUGCAUCCAAAAUUCAAUUGAAACUUUCAAACUUCCUUCAAACAAACUUGUAGAGGAUCAUAUACCCUUUAUUUGAUUGAUUUACACCAAGUCGAAAAGAACAUUCUAAGACCGUGAAUUUUGAGCUCCAAUGUCGGCUAAAAUUGAGCUGUUUACUGAAUCGCACGAUUCAGUUUCGUCAGGGUUCCGAAACAGCCAUUUGCUCCUCUUUGGGUUCGAUUUUAACUGCCCAAACUCACUUUGGGUACGUUUGGAUACGAGGUGCUAAAUUUUAGUAGGGUCACAUCGGAUGUUCGGAUGCUAAUUAGGAGGACUAAACAUGAGCUAAUUACAAAACUAAUUGCACAGAUGGAGUCUAAUUCGCAAGACGAAUCUAUUAACGCUAAUUAAUCCAGCAUAGCAAAUAGUUACUGUAGCACCACAUUAUCAAAUCAUGGACUAAUUAGGCUUAAUAGAUUCAUCUCGUAAAUUAGACUCCAUUUGUGCAAUUAGUUUUAUAAUUAGACUAUGUUUAAUACUCCUAAUUAGUAUCAAACAUCUGAUGUGACAGGUGCUAAAGUUUAGUAGGGGUAUCCAAACACCCCCUUUAUCUUGCCCAACUUCCACUAAUCUUUGUUCAACAUAUAAUAAAGGUUCCAUUUUGCACAUAAGAACCCAUCUCUUACCCACUAGAUUUUUCAAAAAUUGCACCAAAGAUUGCUAAGCAGCACUGUUCUUGAGGACAGCAUGAAGUUUUAACUUUGAGCCUCCAAAGAAAUUUGAAUUCUUUGCUUUCUUUGGCCAACAACACAUCCAAAACUUCCUUUAUCAAAGUUGGAGGAAAUCUAAAGUUCUACCUUUCAUAGAUUUGCACUUUUGGCUGAAUCUCGCUCCUUCCUCGUGAAAAACCUCUUUGAACUUUUCUAGACAUUGAACUUCAGCUUAACUAAAUUUUCUCCUUUUGAACCUUGCUGUCAGAAACUUGAAUUACGACAAAAAUCCAAACUGCUCUUUCAAAAAUCCCUUUAUGAAAGUUGUAGGAAAUUUAAUGAAUUUCAAUUCAUCUUACUACACCUCCUUCAGAUUCCCAACCAAUUGAGGGGAAUUUCCUUAUGAACCUGAUUGCUACUUUUCCCCUUUCAACAACUAAGCCUUUGACAGAUUAUCUUCAGGUCGAUUUUUAUGGCUAAAAUUCAACAGAGGCUUGCUUAGAGCCCUUAAACAAAGUUGUAGGAAAUGUUUGUGACUAUCUUUGAUACAUUUGGAGUCUCUUCUGAUUUUGAUUCUAAGGGUUCGAAAUUUGCUUCCAAAACAAAUUGUUACUGUUCAUCCUCCAGUAUUGAUAGAAUUGUCAAUUUUUCUGAGCUGAAGGUUCAGAUUGUGUUUACUCCAUUUUUUUCACCUAAACUCUCAAAACUUCCUUUAUAGAACUUGUAGAGAACCUAUUUCUCUACAUUUCUCUUAUUCAUCUCAAAAGCCAAAUGUCUCUUUUUACCUUCCAAAGUUGGUACUGAAGCUGGCUGCCAAUUCUUGCUUUUCACUGAAUUGAAAUUGCAUUGAAUGGCUUCAAUCUCGACAGAACAGUACCAAAAUCCUCCAUUUAACUUUGAAUUUCCAUUUAAUCCUUCAAAUGCCAUUUGUUUCAUGCCAAUGCCAAACUUGGAGAUCAUGCUAAGCUUGACAUGAAAGUUUCAUUUUGCUCAUAAAACUAAAGGCUCAUAUAGCAUUUCUCCAAAAUCUCUUGAAUCAAAGUUCAUUCCAUUCAGUACUGUUUUUCAAAGGCAUUUAUGCCUAUAUCAGUAACAUCCUGCAUUUCUGAUUUUUGGACAAUUUAAGGUCCAUUUGCUUCUCAAAUGGUCUCUUUAAGUUCCAAAUGUCCAUAAGGUCUAAAUUCAUGCAUUUGCCAACUUUUUCUGAAUUUGAAGCUCUUAUUUGGCAUUUUUGGCUAAAAUUUGAUCAAAAGUUGACUUUGGCCAUAAAAGCUCAUUAACCCCCAAAUCUUUGUCAUAUCCUAUUCUUGGCCAUUCUUGAGUGUUUUUAACACCCCGGGUGCUCUGCCAUUCAGUUCUCGGCAGAUAGCUCGAUAGUAACUUGUUCCCCUCUUUGAGUUCUGAUUCGGGAAUUUAAAUUCAUGUUUCUUGGGGCAAGAACUUCUGGAAUGGUUAAUUAAAGAUUCCAUUUCUCAAGUUGUCGCCCAACUCUUGGUUGUGGGAGUCCUUUGAAUUUUUAAAUCUUGAAUCUUGAAUUUGAAUCUUUGGUCAAAUUUGACUCAAAUUUGACUUUGGUCCAUAAUACCUCCGUUGCAUCCAAAUUUCAUCAUUAACCUCUAAAUUACCUUCUUAGGCUUUUAAUAACACUGGGUGUUACAAGUGGCACAAGGAGGAGACGGGAUGGCGCGAGGAGGAGACGGGAGCAAGACGUCGUCCAAGAGGGAUGGAUCGGUCCGCCAGUUUUGGAGGAACCAUUCCAUCCCUCUUUUCGAGGAAUAUUCCACUUUGAUGCCGUCCUCGUUCCACCUGACCUCCAACCAAACACAUGUAAAAGUGGGAUGACCCCGUCCCGUCCCUCUAUCCAAACACACCCGCACGCCUUGGGGCUUAGGCCAGUAUAUAUACAAGCCACCGCUAGAGUCUAGACAGAAAAUACAUGUCGUGUGACAGAAUACAUUUAAUACGAGCAGCAUGGUAGAAAAUUAACAGCAUAUAAACUGAAGAAAACAUGUUGUAAGGAAUCGAACACUUCUAGAAGACAGCACCAGCACAUCACCUUAGCAGAAUCCAUCCAUACUGAUGAGUGAUGACAACUUCCUCAUCCAUGCAUCCAUCACAUCAGCCAAGUUGAAUUAGCUUGUGUUUACUUCUGCACUCACCUGCAACUCAAGGGCACACUCGAGGUCCAAAAGCACAUCUUCCAUUGAUGGACGAUCAAUACCCCGAUCAGCAACACAUUUCUCAGCAGUUUCAAUGAACUUGUGGAAACACUGUGCAUUAAUUCUUCCUUUCAUAUAUGGGCUAACAAUUUGAUCAAUGUUACCCUCCUGCUUGCACUGCAGUGCCCAAUCUACCACGUUACCUACUCGUAUUGGAAAAAUGCAGUUCCUAACUGAUCCGGCACAGAGGACCUCAAACAAUACAGCACCAAAAGAAUAGACAUCCGAUUUCUCGGUCAGCUGAAAAGUGCGGAAAUAUUCAGGAUCAAUAAGACCACCACUGCUCUUGAAGGUUGUGGUCUCACCAGUUGAUGGCUCAGUCGUGUAAAGACCAAUACCUGUAAUCUUGGCAAUCCAAUCCUCAUCCAGCAGAAUAUCGGAUGUGUUAAUGUUGCGGUGAAUGAUCUGUAGCAGAUGAAGGUGGUGCAAGCCCCGAGCUGCACCAAUGCAGAUCUCCAGACGCUGCUUCCAGGUAAGUCGUGGCUCCUGGGUCAUGUAGAGGUGCUUGCGAAAACUUCCACGAGCCAUGUAUUCAUAGACAAGGAUCAACUCGUCCUUCUCAUUGCAGUGACCAAUUAGUGGCACAAGAUGGUGGUGGCAGAGCUUUGACAUAACCUCUAUCUCAGCAUAAAACUCAGGUGCACGGUACUUGGACCACGGCUGCCGGUGUUUGAUAGCAACCUCAGUUGCUCCUCCAUCAAUUUUUCCAUGGUAAACACUGCCAAAUGCACCCUCACCGACAAGGAGAGAUUCGUCAAAGUUGUUUGUUGCAGCCUUUAUCUCUUCAAAUGAGAAAUGGCGGCAUAGGUCUGAUGGCAAAAUCUUCGUAGCCAUACUCACUACAGCUGGAGGUGCUCGCAAGCAUUUCCCUAUCCAAGAAAACAAAUAUACUGGUUCUUGUCCCUGAUGUGAAGCUUUCUGUAGCAUUCGAAGGUUUUCUGCCACAUCAAUCAUUUCAGGACGUCUGUCCCUUUCCAUUCUCAGGCAUUCAAUUGCUAGCUUUGCAACCUCUUCAAGAAUAAUCAUGUUAUUCUGAUUUGCGAUUUCAGGGUCAAUCAUCUCUCUCAAUUCUCUGACCCCCCUUGCAACAUCUUCAGUAAAUACAGAAACAAUGCUGACAUCUCCUGCUGUGGCCCUUUUCCUAGUGAUCAGUUCCAAGAGCACAACUCCAAAACUGUAAACAUCACUCUUCACAGUGAGACGCCCAUCCCUUGCAAACAAAGGGUCCAUGUAACCUAUGCUCCCUAUUACAUUCUCAGUAUAUAGUGUCUUGUCCGUGGUGACUAGCCUUGAUAUUCCAAAGUCUGAUAACUUUGCAUUAAAGUUGCUGUCUAACAGUAUAUUAGCAGGUUUAAUAUCACCAUGAAUGACUUGAGUAUACAUGUGAGAGUGCAUGUAUGCCAAUGCCUCUGCACACUCUGUUGCAAUCCUAAGUCGUAUAUCCAAAGGUAUGGGAGCAUUUUCAUGAUGAAGAACAUCACUCAGGUUUCCAUUAGGGAUAUACUCGGUGACCAUAGUUAGGGCAUUUUCGUCUAUACAAUAACCAAUGAGCCUAACUACAUUCCUAUGGUUGAUUUCACAGUGGAUGGUCAACUCUUUAGCAAAGUUCUCUUUCACAUUGUGGAUAAACUUCUUCACUGCAACCAUACUUUUGUCUUCAAGAACUCCUUCAUAUACUUCCCCAAAGCCACCACUCCCAAGAAUAUAUCUGUAGUUGUUCGUAAUUUGUUCUAUAUCGCCUUUACUGAAGCAUUUUAUGUUAUGAUUACUAUGCACUAUCCACUUUGAUCUAUCGGCCCCUUGCAUCAGUUCCAUCACUUUAUUUCCGAGAAGAUUCAUCCUAUGCAAGUAGGGAAGGAGUAAAUUCACAGUUACAUUUGGAUAAGGAGAUGAUCAGCACAGCAAAAGACAGUAGUCAGUACCUUUGACUAUAAACUUUGUUAUCGCUAUACAAAUGGAAUUGCCGUGUUUUGUUCAGAUUUCUCCCAGAGAACUCAACAAUAACCAAUCCGUAAUAUGCAGUUUUAAUCCUCCAUCUUCAAUGGAUGAAUCACAGCUCUCCUGAUAUUUUUCUUCAAGAAAAAAGACUAAAUGUGGGGGACACACUGACCUAUAAGUAGUUCCAGAGCAUUACAUUCAGUUUUAAUGUAACCCAGAUUUUACCAGUGCCAUGGCAACUCCAAGAAACAAGGAAAUAUCUAGUAACUAGCAUAAUGAACACAGCUGAUUUUCCUUUAGAAAUGAUCUGGCCAUAUCUUAUUUAUCAUCUCCUCUAUCUGUUUUAUAUCUUGUAAUAUUUCAUAGUUAUGGCAAUAUGGCAUUGCUUGUCUACAAUAGUGGGGUAUCAGUGAUAAAAUUGUGUUUUAUUGAAACUGGAUUGGAUGUUAGUUAUGAUAGUGAUAAACUAGAUUAAAAAGGUUUCUUUGUAAAAGGUUUACAUUGAAGAUUGAAACAGCAGUUAAGUAUAGAAUUACUCUCUAAAAUAUGUGAAGGAAGAGAAGAGUAGUAGUGCUAACACCAUAAACCAAAAGGUCUGUUUGUCUUAGUUUGUGAUGGAUUAAAAGCUGUAAAGCAAGUUCUCUAAAAGUUACAGUGAUUUGUGUGAUUUAAAGGAGUGUUUCCAAGUUCCAAAACAUUUUGGAUGGUGUGGAGCUCUUUUGUACUUUGUUUUUUCAUUUUGCUCAGAUUUUAAUUAUGGUUUCCAUCUAGGGGAAUAAUGUAAAAAAAGAACUAGGGAUGAUACAGGUCAUUUUGUUUAAUUUCAUUGCUAGAAUUGUUGAUACAAAGAUGAACAAAUAGUAAACAGAUGUCUGAGGAAAUAACAUUAAUACAUGGAAGCACCGUCAAUUUCUCAUGUUGAUUAGGUAAUCAUUGAAAUACUUUACCUAUGACAAGAAAGAAUCCAAAUUUUUAUGAUUCAGACCAUGAAAAGGAAGCAAAUGGGAAUAAGCUGCAUCACACCACCAAGAACUAGACAACCAAGGGUGAGAAUCUCUGUUACGACGGGAAGAACCAAAAGUCAACUGGAAAUAGCUUGAUUGUCAUGUGAACACGAGCAUUACUGAUCACAACAUACCUGUCAGGGAUGGAUUUGCAGAUGCCAAAAAUGAAUCAUUUCCCACCAAUAUUUAGUACUCGCAUCGUGAUGGUUGGAACAUGGAUAGCGUAGCCUACAGAGGAUUCAUGGAAAGGAUUAAAGGAAGAAGAGAUGCAAAUGCCGGGUCAACUUUCGAGCAAGCCUCGACGCCAAAGGCCUUCUUCGUCUUAGGAGCCCUUUGGUCGGGCUUUGGCUCCGGCUUAUUUGCCGGCUUAUGCCGAAGCCCUACCAAACGCUAAAAAUCAAAACGGCUUCUUCCCAGAAGCCGGUAAAAGCCUCUAGCGUUUUUGAACUAGGAUGAGAGAGCCGAAAAAAGUGGCUUCCCCCGGCUUCUCUUCCUCCCUUGCGCCAAGACAAAUGGAACUAUCCCUCAACUUGGCUGGAAUUGCAACGAAAUUGCCAUUCCUACCUCUCUGGUGGCGGCGUGAAGCUCACCGGUGAUGAGAGGUCGCAGCUGCCCGGCGCGAAUGGUAGCAGGUGCACGCGUGCAGCCGCAGCUGGAUGGCGCGGACGGACAGCGGGGUGGAGCAGCGGCAGCGCGGUGCUGGGCAGAUCAAUGACGGCGUGACCCCGCGGGGCGCACUAGCGGCAGAGCUGCUCAGCGGCAGGUCGAAUCGGCGGCGUAGCCUAGCAAGAGAGACGAGAGAGAGAAGACGAGAGAGCGAGAUUGGGAGAGCGGACGGUGGACUCCGUAUAAGAGGAUAAGGAUGUACGGAAAGAAAGGGAAAUAGGAAAGGAGGAAAGGAAAAAAUAGAAAAGAAAAAUAAAAAAGAUAAAAAUAAAUAGAAAAAAAGGAAGAAGGAAAAAUGGUAUUAUCUUUUUAUUUCACACAAAUCACAUUAUCAAUAGAGCCACACAUAAAACUUGUAUGGGCAAGCAACAUACAUAUGCAUGGGCAAAAUGGACAAUUGACAUCUUCUAUACAUUCUAAAAAGCUAGGAGAAGCCGUUUUGCCAAAUAUUUUUCUACAAAAUAAGCUAGAACUAAAAAAGGCUGCUUUUUCAUAUGAGUCAGAGCUAGAGUUAUUUUUUCACGAGCCAAAACCGUGCCAAACGGACCCUCAGGGAACGCUGAAUGCCCUUUUGUCUUUGUAUAUUUUGUGACAAUGUGGGACCCAGAGUUGCGUGUUCUAGAAACAAAUUGCCAUUAGACUUCGGGGGUCUUGAUUUACAAGCACAUAAUUAAUUAGCCAUGUUCUAGGGAAAAGCAAAAGAUAAAUUACCUGUUGCGGUAUUUCAUCGAGCAUGUGUGUUGUGCGCGGCGACGGACCCACGCCCGCCACCGCGAACAGCGCCUGGCUGCCGGUUAUCCCAGCGCACCCAUGGGUUACCGAUCGAUCGCCCAGGCGAAGAGGCCUCGCUGUUUUGCACUCUGCUCGCGCGCUCGCUUGGGUGCCCCUUGCGCGUGGGCGCCGCAAGCCCGCGCCUGCAAGGCAGUGUCCGGCUUGCGCCCGCCACAAGAGCAUGCCGGGAUGACCGGCAGAGGGGAUGGAGCGAUUGUCAAACAGACGAGCAGGAGCUGUCGUGGCUGGGGCUAUAAAGAAGGCGUGUCGUCCGCGUCGAUCCUUCUCAACACAAGUUUCGGCCUGGUACAAUCGAAAUCGCUCGCCCUCCACCUCUGAUCAUCCAGGGGGAUCUUGCUGUGCAAACCGCAACCGCAACCGCAAUGAAUAACCCCUUGCCUGCUCAUCGCAGCAACACAACCACCUCACAGAUGCAGGCCUCUCGUCACUGUAACUUGUUCAGCAGAGAACACAGCGAGUCCGUGGGCGACGUUCUACCUGUAAUGUUGUGUCUUUCUGGAUCCAGUUUUAGCAGCUUAAGGUUGUGUAACCAACACAUCUUUACUUGUUCCAAGUGUUUCUGGAACCGACAAGAUUGAACGGAUUCUCUUAUUCUGUUCCUAUAUACCACUUAUCAGUUAUCGCACUACGCACCUAUCCGACAGUCGGCACGACUUCACGAGCCGGAAAACCGAAUUCUACCGGUGCUAGGCAGCAUUGAUGGAAGCACGGGAAGUCAGUCGAAUACUCCAUAAAACAGCUCAAGUAGCAGUACAUGUCAACAGCAGAGGUAACUGAAUCACGGCGCGCAGCAAGACGGGAUAAUCGCAAUAAAAGGACGGUCACUCUCACUCAGCCAGGACGGCGCAGCAUGCGCGGAAGGUAUCCCUCAGCUCAGAGGAGGUAGCAGUAGGCGAGCAGCGGUGCCACCACGGCGGCCACGAGGGCGGUUGCCGUCAUCCGAGAGCUCGCCGCGGCCUUCGGCGGGGACGCGGUCGCUCCGCCGCUCGGUGAUCCCCCGGUAGACGCUCCAGGUGCUGCAAUCACAAGUUCACAACAAGAAGGUCAGAAGCCGGAACCAACAUUUUCGCGGUUGGCUCAACAGAUAUUUCCCGUCAGAUAUAUCAGGUAAGAGGACAAUGGCAGUCUGAAAUUGAGACACCAUGCACCAUGAGUGACAGCAACAAUAGCAGUUUUUUCACAACGGCCAAGCCAUCGGGUGAGCUGUCAGUUUUUAGAUGGGAAACCACGAGACUCGUCAGUUUCCUAGGCUCGCCAACAUCUGUUUACACGAGACUACCAAGAAAGCAAACUCUCCUUCCUCAACCGAUGGAGGGAAAGCACCAGACAUUGCAACUGGACCAAAAUUUCUAGCCCCUGGCAAGAUGGGCCAUUCAGUCCAGCGGUUGCCUUCACUCCAGCACGGCUCUCAUAAAUCAACAUCACUCAAGAGCUUGGUCACACAGAUUAUUCAACACGUUCCACGGUCUCUCGAGAAAAACCCGAGACAGAUAAGUACUCUCUACAAGAACGUGGUGUGGCCCAGCAAAAUGCUGGCUGUCCACUUUGAUUGCAUCCUGAUGAGUGAUGAGUACCCCCGUGACUUGCCAGUCAGCCUGAGCCCGUGACUACAGUGACAAGAACGGCUGCGGAUCUCCAGGAAUUAACUAAACAGACCUUUUGCACGGAGAUCAACAAUCUAGUGCCAGAUUAAGGACAAACAAUGAAAUGUUCCAGGUUGGGAUGCUAACCUAAGAAUAUACUAGUACCAUCAUGAUUCACCCUACUCUGCCACAGAAAUGGAGCAGCCUAACAAAAUUGUCUCGUCUUCAUAAGUGAUUAAAGAUGGGCUGCAGAAGCAGGUCUUACACCUUUCACACAAAUGGCCUAACAAAGUAGCUUAAAUGUCACUAUCUGUAGCUCAAACCAAGCAUACUCCUAGCAUACAAGUUAAUGCGAAUGGCAACCAUUACAUUUCUAACUAGAUCGUUUGCAUUUAACAACAUGGGUUGAUCGAUUCAUAAAAAAGCUUUCUUUUAAUUCAUAUGCUCCUGUCAAAAUCAUUUGGUUGCUCACAUGUGAUCCAAUCACUCGCAAAGAUGCAAAGGUAACGGAAAACUGAGAAUAGUCUACUUUGUUUGCGGGGCAACAAACACUGUGGUGGACCCAUUUAUGCCAAUCCAGUGAUCGACACUGGAGUGCCACUCAUGGGAAAGAACAAUGCCUCUUUGUUUUGAGCGUGGUACAGCUCACCUCCUUCUAGUAGAAAGACAACUCAUUUUUUGUUGGCAUAUGAUCUGUCCUGUACUUUGUGACAGCUAAAAUUCAGAUUUUAUUUUCCAAAUUAAAGUUACAGUAUUACCAGAUUUCCGUUCUGUUCAUACUUGAAGAUCUAAUCAAGCCUAACGCAACAAAUUCAUAGAGCACGAUCUAGUACUAUGUGUCCAUCCAUGGUAUAAUAGAAGGCGUGCAGAUCAGACGCAUGCCAUGAUAGCGAAAGAGAAAGGGAGAGGAGUUACCUUCGGCAGGAGAACCCGCGGAAACUGCAAGCAAGCAAAUCAAAAGAGACAAAUGUUAGAUCAGAUCGAAAUUGCUUAGUGUAGCAGAGGAGAACAGAACCUAACUGAUCAAAGAUUACUGACUCCGAACAUCUACACUUAAAUCCCUAAGAGAAAUCGAAGAGACGGUGAAAUCCCAAGAAUUUUUUCAUAAUUUAGGUAUGGUUUCAGGACAAAAGGGGGGAAAUUCUUGAAGGAGACGGCAUGAUACUAAGUUCCGUGUACACACGAGAUAUGCUGAAAUUUAAGCAAGAAGAAACAAAGGCCAGGAAGGAGGAGGGUUCCACGGGGCGGCGCUCACUGUGGCACUUGCUGAAGACGGUGUUGGACGAGCCGCAGGCGCCGGGGAGCGCGAGCACGCGUUUCAUGUCGAUGGGUAAGCCCAGGUUCUUGUUGCCCGCGAGGGAGCAGAGGC
rnacentral:lncRNA from 1 species